GAAUGAAAAGAAAAAUGUUUAUUGUGAGUUCAUGAUGGUUCGACACAAUUAGGUAGUGAAAUGUUUCUUUAAGACGAUGGAUGAUGUGAAUUUAUAAGCUUCAUUUACCUGAAGCUAAGGAUUCUGAAGUCAUAAAUCAAAUUAAAUUUUGUUGAGUUAUGGGCUUGGGCUAACUCUUGAUGAUUAAGGAAGGAUGUCGAUCUAAUUAUCGUGGGGUAGUUCAAUCUGGUGAUCGAGUACAACUUUAAGUUAACAGUAAUCUUAUUUGCCAGCGCAUAAGGUUGGGAGAGAUGUUGGGUUAUGGGUCUGGACCGACCCAUCAUCAGUAACUCAGGGAUCCGAUCUACAUGAAUAAUACAAUGAAAAUAACGUGGAACAAGGGAUUUGGAUUAAUUAGCAUUAACCAAACAGUAAAGGGAGAAUCAUAACGACAGACACGAGAUUAAUACUCACUCCAUAUAUACUAAGUAAAACCUCACAAAUAGACAAAUCACAAAUUAGAUUAAGAACACACUUGUUAUUAAUUAUCUUGAAUGUUCUGAAUUUAGGUCGUCUUUUGGUCUGUCUAGAACAAAUCCAAUUAGGUGAAAAAACAUUUUCUAAGAAAAAUAGGUUGAAUUAGUGAAAUCACAUAUUUUUUUUUUCUAAAAGAAACAAUGAUUAUGGGAUGGAAAAUAUAUAUUAUAGAAUGUAAUUGAAAAGUAAACCAAAUAUCGAAUAGUAUAAAGAAAAAAAAAAUUAUAAAAAAAAUAACCGAUUAGAAGAGAACAACUCAAUUAAAAAUAAUUGUUUUUCAUUAAAUUAAAUAUUUUAAUUAAAAAACAUCCUUCUUAACUAGAAUAUUUAUACUUACAACAUUAACUUUUUUACUAGUAAUGAUGUGUUUAUAGUGCAUUAUUUCAUAUUACAACGAUUAAAAAUAUAUAAAAAAAUAUUUUAUUUAAAUAUAAACUCAUGCGAUUAAAUGAAUUUUUAAAAAAUAUAUAAAAUAAUACCUUUUAUUGUUCAAUUGUCAAAGUAUUUUUUUUUUCAUUCCACCCAACCUUAUUCGACCUUGGUUAAAAACAAAACGGCAUAAAGUAUUGACUUUACCUAUCUUAAAAGUAAUUUUAUUAGUUGACAGUGUAAAUAUCCCUUACAAAUUAAUUUUUUUUCAAUGUUUCAAAACGUAAAACUAAGAUCUUCUGCAAAAGUGUCACAAAUGAUUUGAUUGAAUUGUAGUGCCCCACUUCCACUACAUUGAAUGUCUUAGUGGUUAUCGAACAGAAAUAGUAAAGUAAUAAAGCAACAAUUUUAGGCUUUUACUUAAAAUAAGGUUUGGUUGUAAUGGAGAGCAUGUGGAGACAUUAAGUUUGUUCGUCGCAUGAUUCCAACAAUCAGAAACACCAUCAAAUCAUAUCAUGUAAGCGAGUUUUGUGGCCAACUAUUUGCCAAUUCUUAUUCUUUUCAUGAUUUUCGGCUCUUCGUAUCAAUUAAAACAAAAUUAUUUUGAUUUAAGUAAAAACUUUAAAUUUAAAUUUAAAAUUAGUCACUAUAAUAAUUAUAACAAUAAAGAUAAAGGUUUAAAAAAAAUUGGAUCAAAAUUUAUAUUAUAACUGUUUUUUAGAGUACACAAUUUUUAUUUAAUUUUAUUUUUAUUUAAUAUAUCUCAUUUUAUUAGUAUAAUAGAAUAUUUUAUAAUUUCAUAUAAAUUACUUAAAAGUAAACUAAAAUAACUUUUAAAUUAAUAUUAAUGUUUAUAUGUGAAUUAACUCCUUUCCUCUUCAUUUAAUUUUUUAUUUUAAAGUAAUAACAUAAAGAAAGAGAAACAUACUCACACCUAUUUUCGCAUCAAAUCUAACAUAUCAAAUAAAAUAACAUUCACUUUCAAUCAUUUUCUUCACUCCAUUAAAGCAACUAUAUUAUUUGAUAAAGUCAUUUUUUUUAUCUACCAUCAAGUUAAUCCUAACUUCAACGUGAACAUCAUGACACUCAAAAUUGUCAAGAGAAAAAGCUUGAAAAAGAAGAGAGAUUUAAACUAGAGAAAAAGAAAAAAAGAGGUUGUUUAAUUAAUUCAUCAUUUUUCUUUUACAUGUUAAUUUUUGUUUUUCAAUUUCGACUCAUCCAAAAUUGUACGUAUGUUAAAUUUCUAUCAUUAUAAAAGUCGAAUAAAAGAGAAAAAUGUAGAUACACAAACGAAUGAAGGAUGGUUUCCACUAGUAAUUAUAAAAAAUAUUGUCUCUUUAUAUAUUAAUAAAGAAAAGUGGAGUUGGAUGUAUUUUUUAUCACGCUAAUUUAUUUUAAUAAAAUUAUUUGAAUUUUAAAAUUUAAAACUCAAUCUUAGAUAUCAGUAUGAUAAUGAGUUCCAUCCAUCACAACUAUAUUCUUAUUUUAUGAAACCCAACUCGCCUUUUUCUUCUACCCCACACAAUACAAAGCCUACAAAUAAAUGUAAAAUAAAAAUAAUAAUAAUGAAGAAGCAACAUCAUAGGGAUCUCAUCAUCACAAUCGCAUUUCUACUUUGUCAAACUUAACUUUCUCUUUCCCAUUACUUAAAUAAAAGAUAAAAUAUAAAUAUAAUUAAUGUAUAAUUUUAGAUAAAACACAAGAAAGUUUAUCUUAUGCAUUCUGCAUAUGUAUCAUCUGAUUGCGUGUUGCAAUUGCCAUUGAUCUAACACAUAUUUGUAUUCUGUUUAUUUUAGUAAGCAUACAGAAAUCUUCCCACUAAAGGUCUUACAUACAAUGCUAAUCACACUGCAGAUAUCUUCUUUUUAAUGCAAUGCCUGCAGUGAAGUUUGUAACUUUAUGCAAACUAAUCCAAACCCUCACUGUUAGUAGGCUGACUCGGUUGAAUUGGAUAUACCCAAUUUAUCAACAAGCUUUACAUCUUAUUCAUCAUAUACUUUACAAAAAUCAUACAACUAUUUUCUGUAAAAUGUUGAGUAAAAGUAAAAUGAAAAAUCCAAUAUGAAGCUGCAAUGUUGUUCCUUCAAAUUCAAUAAAUGCUUCAGAACUCAUACAGUGGCCCUGCACCAGAAAAUAGAGAUUAUGGACUAAAAGUGUAUGUCAGGACAGGAGUAUUAUUUUAUAGCUUUUCAAUAUAUUCAUCUUAAUGAAAAAAACAUGAAGCCUCGACAAAAGAUAGUUGUUGCAAUCUCAGUUCAUUCAAAUUUCAGGCAAGUGAGGUAUGUUUAUAUAUGAAAAGAAACUUGUCUAGAUUAUUUGGCUAAAUUUCAACUAUACCUAAAUUUGCCAUGACUUCUUCAUUUUCAAUCUCUGCAUCAGUGAAAGUCAGGGCUUUCUGCAGCUUCCUUGGAGAGAACACCUCAACCUCAAUCAUGUAUGUGGCCGUCACUGGUCUGUGGUCUGAAAACUUGAGUUCAUUCCUUCCAUAUCUAAGUAAUCUCAUUCCCAAGCCGUAUGAAAGAAUACGAUCACACCUGAAAGUAAUUGCAAAUUUUACAAAGCAGGAUCACUUAUAUAAAGAAAGAUUUUGCCAACAAGAUUGUUAAGAGAUUGGUAAAUACACCAUAUUAAGUACUUUUCUAAUUAUUAAGAGAAAAAAAAAAAGAACUGAACUCAUAACUAUACAAACAGACAUUGACAGAAUUUGAAGCAUACCAUGAUGGUAUUCGCCUCCCAACCUUUGGGUCUUCACCGCAGUAUUUGUCUGAAUUAAUCUCAUACUUAUAAGUUGGUGGGAAGUUUAAUGCACCUUCUGACCAUCCAUGAAAUACACCUUUCUCCAAUUCUUUUGUAAGCUAUCAUAAUAAGAUGUCAAUAAAAAUACACAGUCAGACCUACCUUACUACUCAAGUUCAUUUUUUAUGCUCCUAACUUUCAACAUCAAUCUAUCUUGUGAUACCAAAAUGAAAAAUGGCAAGGAUAACUUGCUCCAACUUGGAAGCAUUCAGAAUUGUAUAAUUUGUUGGAGAUAAGCCGCUUUUUAAAGUUCAUUUAUUAAUAAUAAAUGAAUACAAAUUUUAUUUUAUAAAUUAGUUUUAUAAGAUUAAGUUAAACUUAAACAUUUCUUAACAUGUUAAUUGUUCACUAUGUCAUGUUAUUAGAUAUUGUUGUCAUUUGAAUACUGUUAUCUAAGUUACAACAAGGAUACAUGAUUAAAUAUCAUCACCAUACAUUUUUAUUUUCAUAAAAUCGCUAAAAAAAGUCCUAACUGACACAAAUGUUCACUUUUAGAUAAAGGAUGCCAAAGCUAAUAAACUAUGACAAACUAUACGGUCAUCACACUUAUCGCAAAAAGAGUGUCAAACAAACAAUAGGGUAAAGUCACCUACAUAAAUAUAGAUAAUUUAAUAAAAAUCUAACUCAGAAUAGUGUAAACAACAGUUUGAAACAAAUAAAUUUUGAUGUACUUUGUUUUUGGAAUACUUGUUUCACAUAAGUAAAAUAAAUCUCUAAAUUACCCAAUCAGGUAAUAGAAAAGUUGGUUAUAUCAGUAACAAAGGCUUACUAGAGAAAUCUGGGAACCAUAUUCUGAUCAAAGGUGCAGAUAUGGAGCAUAUGAUUGUGCAGUUCACAUCGGGUAAGAGUAUAUAAAAAACUAUUACCUGGUCUUUCUCAAUCAAUUUGGACCAUUGCUUUUUUGAGAUAAAAUCUCUGGUUUUCUCAUAUGACAAGUUGAUACGAUAAUUCAGAUCACCCAACCAAAUUAUUCUUCUGCAAAGUGCAAAUAAAUUGGAAUCAAUCAAGUGGUUAUAGUUCUUUUAGACCAAACUUGUAAAUACAGAAUUAAAGGGAAUAAUCAUCAUGAAAACAAUCCCAUUGAAAAAAGUCAAAUAAUCAUCCUUUUGAACUCCAUCGACUAAACACCAAAAGGAAUACACAUGAGCCUAGCUUAAAUCAAGUUAGCAAUUUCAACAUUCAAACUUCUCCAUCUCUCUCACUACAUAUUCUCUAAACCACUUAUAAUUCUCACCUAGGAGAAUAAAUAAUUUAGGUGUGAGUGGACAUUAACAUUAACAAUGUCAACACCCAUGUUGGGGCAUGAUAUAAUUCAAGGAUACAGAAAUUUGGUAAAACAACAGCAGUAAUGGUGCUAAAUGGAAAAACCUACAACCAGAUAAUUUAGUGCACUUGGUAAAUAGAGCAUGAGGGUGGAGCGCUGCAUCAGUUCCAGGAACUAGAAACAUUUUAGUUUAUCUUGGUAUGUAAAACAUGCACUCACUCAUGGUCAAGGAUCUUUCUGGGAACCCCAAUAUCAGCAAGAGUAUAAAAUUGGGUUCUUUGAUGUAUUUCGCGAACAUCAGCAUUUCUUUUAAGUUCAUCUACUUCCCUUUCACCUGCCGUAAGGUGGGUGCAUAUGAAACAAAAGAGUGUCUGGUAUAUAGACAUGCUGAUAGAUAUUGAUCCCUGAAAAUUUGUAGAAGUCUCUCAUCAUCUAAUAAUUACAUCAACACUGAUCAGAUGCCAAGAUCACUCAACAAAAACAUGACUAAUAUACCUAUCAUUGAUUGGUGAGCACACCAUAUAUUAACAACACUAUAUUACUUUAUGUGGCAGUGGCACCACCAAACAUACCUGCUGUAUUCCAGUCCACAAUUGAUGCCAAAAAUAUAUACAAGAGCCUAAUAUGGAAAGCUAGUAAUGCAGAAAACUUUAUAUAAGGAAGGGAACAAGAGAAAGGUGUCUGGGACAAACAUUAGAAAGUCAAGCAGAAAAGAAAAAAAAAGAUAUUCUAAAGAAAGGGAUAAAGACCUUGUUACCAAUAUAGCCCAUAAUACCGACACCAACACUUGACACCUUUAAAUUCUGAAUAUGUUUACGCAAGCUACGACGAACCCAUAUGGUGAUGAAAAUCCCAACCAUCUGUUUGCUCACUAUCCUUACAUAUGACGAUCUCCUUUUCCGCUUCAUCAAAGCUUCGAGGUCAAUUUCAGCAAGAAAAGCUAUGUCAUCCAUGGUUGGCUUGAAAGAAUGACAUGUUCUGAAAGACUUUGAUGCUGAAAAGGAUCUGAUGGAGCUAAAAGAAGUUGGUCUAUCAAAUUGUCGAGAUAUCAAAUGCAGUGGUGGCUCUGGCCAACUCAAACCAAUCCUAUCAGAACCACUAAUCAUUCUGGAUAGCUUAUUUGUCUGUUCAGAAGAUGAUGUUUCCGUUUUCUGGGACAAAUUUUCGUCACGGAAACAAUUUAGCCUACUCAACCUCUUUCCAUCAGAAAACUGUCUCUGUAAAUCAUUGCCAAUAUCAGCGGCAUCUGAAGCCAAGACUUCUUCAUCCGUGCUUGGCUUAUCCCUCCCUCCAUCAUAAACAUUGUGAUCUUCUUCAUCCACAUGAUGCACUUCCUCACCAAUGUCACUGUCGCUUUCAAGUAAAAUUUCUUCUUCUAUGUCUGCCACAUCAUCUGAUGGCUUAAAUUUUGAUGGAGAUGGAGGAUCACUGAAGGAUUUCAUCUUUGGAACUUUUGGUCUAACUCUAUUCAGUGUAUCUCGAAUAAUGUUUUCCCAUUUUGGUACUGGCCGAGUAUCUCCAGCACCAAAAAUGUUACCAGGAUUUAAUGGUACAAUCUCCUGAAGACUGCGGCAUUGUAAUUUGUUAUGUUCUAGUCAAACAAGGGGAACAAAUAUUCGUAUGCAUAUAUGAAGAGUAAAAUAUCUGUGUAAAGAAUGUGUAUUCAUGUGAACAUACAAAAUAUUAUAGAACCAUAAAAAGAAUGAUAAAGGACAGUGUACAACUUACCCAAGAACAUAGAUAUCAGCUGGUUCGUUAAUGCCUACCCAAUCAUCAAUAUCAAGAUCAUCAGGUGGAAGCUUUCCUCCAACAUUCCAUGUUCCGACACAUACUCUGAGAGACAAAUAUUCACCAGAAUCCAGAUGAGAAAUACCAACAAACGAACUAUGUUUUCUACUCUUUCAAUUCAUAGCAAUUAGAGUCUUUUCUUGCUAAAACACAAGACUAGUGCCUCACCUCAGUUCCUUCUUGCUUAUAUAUUGAGACCUAAAAGUUAACGAUUUUUGCCUCCUUAACCUUGGAAGAAAUUCUGCAGUUCAUUAGAUAUUUAGACGGUGUGUUAAAGACGAACAAGAAAAGCAGCAUCCUAAUCUUUGCAAUUCUCAGAUUGGAAGAAAUUCAGAAGCUACAAUUGCAUAUAUGAGAAGGAGAAACUAAUAAUAACCAUUUGACUCAAUUGGAGCUUCUUCUCCUCUGCUGUCCCCAAACCGUGUCUGUUUUCCCCACCCUGCACAGACAGAUCACAGAAACAGACAAACUGAAAAGGAGUUGUACAGUCUCAAUUCUAAAGUUUCUGAUAAUUUUGACAUAAUCAUAAUGCUCCAUUUCCAUAUUCUAAGAAAAUUCAACCCAACACAGAGAAACACAAACUCACAGAGAUAUUCAAAACAAUAGAAAGAUAGUUGUAUAGACUCACCUUCAUCGUCUGAUUCACUCUGAGGGUCAUCCUCAUUAUCAUCAUCAGGGUCAGCACGGUAAUCAGGCUCGUUGCUACCCAUGUUAAGCCAUUUCCGCAUAACCACUCUAGCCCACAAGGGCUGCAUGCAACACCAACCCAAAAAGCACAUUUCAGCCGAAGCCCUUUGCACUGUGCCUCAUUUUCUCAAGAUCAACUAACCCCAACACACCAAAGACACACUCGCACAAGCAUGCAGAAACAAGCCAUGCACAGGCUCAGAGUAGACACACACAAACAAAAACACAUACCUGUUGAUUGUUUGCUUCUGAUCCUUGCUUCAUCACUUUAAAAUCGGCUAUAUUUGGAUGGAGGAGAAAGAGAAAAGGAAGACAAAAAAUGAACUGAAGUACCUAGAAAUAGAAAGGUUAGAAUGGGAACAUAAGAAAACAAAUCAAAGCAGUUGCAAACAUUGUCAAAUCAGUUAGUUGAUCUUGAAGCAGAAAAACAGGGUACUUUAUUUUGAUAAUUAUUGCUUACUUUCACAUAGAAUUCUUCGAAAGAAAAACAAAUACUGCUACUUAAAACAUGACUAUUCACACAUCAUUAGAGAUUAUUCCGUAAGAAGUAAUGAGGAUCCAUUCAGUCGAAAAAUGACAUCAUUGGAUCGUUAUCUAAUGGCUCAUAUUUAUCUAUUUCACUUUCACACGAAAAUGAAAAAUAAAUAAUAAUAGUUGAAUUAAACUUCGUCGUGACCAAAGAUGGAAAAAUGUGGUCCGUGGCCAAAACCACGGGACUUUAGCAAGUUGCAGACAUUAACAGGUUGUCAGUUGGAGGUUGUGCUUAUAAAUUAGAUCAACCGUACUCGCACAUGUCAAACCUCCCUAACACGGCAUGCCAAGGAGAAAAAUCUUACACUAAAAACAUUAGGUCUAUUUAUCUUUCAUGUGCUUAUAAGUUUUGAUACUUUUUAUUCCUUUUUAUUAAAUUCUUUUUGUUUUAAAGACUAUUUAAAACAUUUAUAUAUCUCUUCAUUAUUUAAUAGAUCUAGUAACUUUUUAUGUAAAGGACUAGUAACUUUUAUUCUUUUUCAUAUUGAAUCUUUAGUCACUUACACAUCAUUAUCCAUAGUGACCAAAAGAAAUUAUCAUUGUGAUUGAUAUAAAUGAUAUAAAUGAGGAGUUAUUUAUUAUCUAAUAUAUUUUCAAUCAAAACAAUAAAAAUUACUUAUUAUUCUAUAUCUUGUAUUAAUCUAAAAUAUAAAAAUUGAGUAUUUAAAACAAAUUUAGUUAAAAAUACUUAAAUUGAUGGCCAAAACAUUAUAUGCAACCAGCCAAUUCAUUAAUGAAAUUAUUUGUAUGUAUGACAUUAAAUUAUAUUUUCACGUUGAAUUCUUGUUUUAUUGGAAAAAAGAAAGUGACUUUCUUCGUAUGAGAAGUUUUAAAUAUGUUUAUAAGGCUCGUAUGAGUAAAGUAAAGGAAGAAAGUUCUAUAAAUAAGAGAGAAGUAAUAAUGUUUAAGAGGGUGGACCAAAGUCCUAAUACCUUGUUUGGCAUCAAUCACCACUAUUGAUCCACUAGUUUUCAGGUAGAAUUGACACUGACUGGUUUAAUUAAGUUAAUUCUCUUUCAGACUCAUUAUCUGUGGAUUAAUUAGUACGCGUGAAAAGCAACCACCCAACUAAUGGGUGAGUCCAUGGCAAAGGACAAAUUAGUUUUGCAUUCUUCUUCGACCAAUUAGGUUCAAGAAUAGACUUAGAAAGUGCUAAACAAUAUAACUCAUCAUGAGAUUAAAUCAACCCACCAUUUCAAUCACAUCACACUUUCAAUGAAGGUACCAACAAGUAGUUAAAAAAAAAACAAGAUUGGAGAACGUCUCAGUAAUUAUUGAGUUAUUAUAUAUUAAACCUAGUAGAAAAAGUAAACCAGAAAAGCAACUAAAAUGCGUAAAGACAUUUUUGUUAUUCAAUUUUGGAAUUAGUGGAAGUUGCACGAUAAGAGUCACAUGUAUAUUUUUUCAAUUAUAGAUUAAUGAUGUUGAAAGAAACAACACUAAUUGUCUGUAGUAAUCAUUUCUGUUUUCAAAUGGACGGUGAUUAUCUUUUGAAUAGCUAUUUUAUAUGCAUUAUUAUACUAAUAGUGUUAAUGCUUGCUUUUAAAUUUAAGGAAAGACACUGACAAAAAUUGAAUAUAUAUUUAUUUUAAAAAUACACUUUCUGACAUCUAUUUUUUCUUUUGUUUUACAUCACUCUUGAAACAAGAAAGAACCAAAUUAAAAAAAAAAAAAAAACCUUACGAUGAAUACAAAUUAAAGUACCCAGAGACUUAAUGUCGAGGACCAGAAACUAUAAUGGAUCCACAUGUAGUAGUUUGAUCCAAUUUUCUGUAAAACCAGUUUACUUCAAUUAAUUGAUUAUUUUAUAGAACAAAACAAUUCUUUUCUUAUAGUUUAGUUUAUGAAUUGAUGUAAGUUUUGUUUUCUAAAACAUAUUCCGGCACUAAAAGCUGAUAAGUUUUCAACAUUAUUUUGAUUUUUCAUUAUUAAUGCAGUAAUAAUAUGAAUUGAAAGUUAUAAUAAUACAACUAAUAAUAUGAAAAUUAAGUUUGAUCGACAGUAAGCAAAUUAAAAGGCCAUGACUUGCCUUUGUUUGGAAUCUUAAAAAUAAAAGGAUUGGAAAAGAAAAGGAAACUAAAAAGUAUUAAAUUUUCAUCUAAUUUUAAAUAAACAUUUGUAAAAACUCGUAAAAAAAAAUUCUUUGCUGGGAAAAAGUGGAAUAUUUUGUUCUCAUAUCUAUUUUGUGUCUUCUUAAGUUAUAAUCCAUUACAUGAAGAAACCCACAAAGAUUCAGAGAAGGCACAUGCAUGUUACAUUCAGACAUUGACUUAGACAUGUACUAGACACAAUCAUUUUUUCAUAUCCAUAGCCACCAUGCCAUUCAUUCCCAAAACAAAAUUGGUCCAAAACUGCAAUUUUUACAUAACAAACUGACCAAUUGUGUUUGACAUAAAAGCCAAUCUUUGUCGUCUCUUUCUAGUUCUUUGGUUUUUUGUAACUGUCAUACUUUUUUAUAGUGGAAAACACAAAUGGCUCACAUAAUUGGUUAUGAUAUUAUAAUAAUAAAAUAAAAAUAAAAAGACAAUGAUGAAUGUAUAAAUCAUUGAAGUAACCGACUCUGUGUAAUCGAAUUUGAAAUGUGUGUAUGCAUCACAUGAGAGGUAGAGUGUAUGUAAUCUAAUUUGUAACAAAAAAACAAUUACAUAAUCCCAGUGUCUAUCAUAUAGUUUUUGUUUUGGAAAUUUUUUUAUGAACUUUAUGUGGAAGAUCCACGAUAGAAGGAGUAUUUGGCUCGUAACUUUGGCACCAUUAUUGUGUCUGGCAUGUGAAAAGUUGACUUCUACUACAGUUUUAAUGUUCUGAAGGCAGAAUGAACAUAAAAGGGUUCACACAUACAUGGCUAUGUUAUUGAUGAGUUUUACUUUAAUUUUGAAAACCCAUAAAAAUAUAAGAAAGUGGUAUAAUGAUAGUAUUACCCAUAAGUAGGGGUGAUUAGGAACAACUGAAAAAGAGUGGUGGGACAAUGUCAAUUUGAUGCCAUAAUAUUGAUAAAGAUGUGUAACUCAUUCGUGUCCAUGCACUUGUUAAAGAUAUAACUUUUUCAUCUUUGUUAUCCAUAAAGAUUGCUUUUAAAAUUAUCAAUUUUACUUAGUAUUUGAAAAAUAGUAAUGAUAUUAUUAUAAAUCAUACUUUACUAAUAUCACUUCUUAUUUUUAAUCAUAGUGUUUUUUGUGUGUGUAAUUUAUACACAAUUUUAUAUUUGUAAACCACCAUAAUAUAAAGGACGUAAAACUAUAAUGAAAAGGACAACCCUGUUUCUAGUUUACUAUUUUAUCUGAAAUGAAACUUUGGACCUGGGUGUCAUUAUUAGCUUUCUUUUUCUGCUAGGAUAUGUGCACCUAAACUUUUGAUAAAAAGAUAUAUAAGUAUUUAUAUAUUUAUUAGUAUGUAAACAAAUAAAAGCAAAGAUUUAUAGGAGAAAAAGUUCGUGGUGUCUAAUUAAAUUAAAAAAAAAUAGUUGAUAUACAUAAAAAAAAAUUAGAAUUCUUUUAUUACUUUUUACUAUAUAAUUAAAAGUACACACUCAAUUAUAUUAUAAUAUCAUCAAUUAGUAACAUAUAAAAGAUGAUUUUAUAAUAUAAUUAAUUAUAUGUACAUUAUACGUAACAUUAAUUGAUUAUUAAUCAAUUAUAUAAUAUAAUAUAAUAUAAAAAAUAACAAUAAAUAAUAUUAAAUAAAUAAUAAUAAUAAUAAUAAUAUUAAAUAUUAAAUAAAUUAUAUUAUAAAAGUAUUUAAUAAUAUUAUUAAUAAAAUAAGAAAUAAUAAUAGUAAAAAUAAUAAAAAUAACAAUAAAUAUAAAUAUAACUAUAACUAUUUAUAAUAAAAAAAUUAUAUAAUAACAAUAAUAAAUAAUAGUAUUAAUUAUAAUAAUAAAAAUAAAUAAAAUAAUAAUAUUAAUAAAAUUAAAAUUCAAUAUUUAAUUAUUUAUAAUAAUAAUUUAAAUAUUAUAAAUAUAUUAUUUUAAAAUAAUACUAAUAAAAAAAAUAUGAAUAAUAAUUAUAACAAAUAAAAUAAUAAAAUUAUAGAAUAAUAAUAGUAAAAAAUAAAAAUAAAUGAAUUCAUAAAAUAAUAAUAUUAUAAAAAAAAUUAAUUUUAAUUUAAUUUUGUGAAAAAAUUUCUUUUACAUUUUUAAAUGCUACAUAAUUAAUAAUUUUUGUAGUCGGAGUUAAUCAAAUGAGAAUAGUGUUUUAACCAAUAUAAAUAACUUAUUUAUGAUUUUUUAAAAUAUAAAAAUAAAAUGGUUUAUCAAUUAAAAUAUUUUCGUAUUUAUCACCCCAUCAUCAAUUUACUCACAAAUUGUUUCGAUUUUUUUUUUUAAAUCCAAACAGCUUUAUUUUCUAAAUUUUUUUCUCAUUUCAUUUUUUUUCAAUCUCUCAAAUCCACGAAACAAACACUAUCUUAAUAAUUUUUCAUAUAUCUCCUCUCUCCUAUAAAUUUAAGUUAUCACUAAAUAUACCCAUCUCUAAUUCACAUAUUUAUAGUUAAGGAGCAGAAUAUCUCUUUGACAGUAUUGCAGUUAAAUAUAUUGAUUUUUGGCAUUUUUUUCUCCUUUAUUUUUACAUAUUUUCAUUCACUGCUUACCAGUUUUUAUCUUUUAAAUUAUAAGUUAUGAAGUCUACUUAUCUUUUGAUACAAAGGUUAUGAAGUUUAUUUGAUGAGAUAUAUUCAAAUUUUAUAAUUUUAGUACUUAUGUACAUAUUCUUAUGUGUAUGCUAACAAUAAUAGUUUUUAGUUUUAUUUUCUAAAAAAGUGUUUUCUAGAAAAUUUGUAUAAAAAUAAAUCAUCUAACCAAUUAACAGGGUCAGCAAUGUUUGUAUAAAAUCUUGAAUUUAAAUCACAUUGUUGUUGUAAUUCUAACUAUCCUGGUAAUUUGCAUGAUGAAUGAUUUUCGAAGAACCAAAGUUCUACUCUCCAUAUUCAAUCAUGUAUUCAUUAAUUGCUUCACCGACAGAUAAACUGAUAAAGCACAAAAGUUUAUAUUUUACAGAUGUAAAACAUUGAUACAGAAAAAGAGAAGAUUAUGAAGAAGAAAACAGAGAAAAAAGAACAGUAAGUAUCAUCGUACCUCUGAAUAUGAGAUCAAUCGACAGACCGAGGAAGUGCUGCUUCUUCUGCUGUUGCUGCUAUCGUUACUUUCAAGCUUCUUCAGAGAAACCAAAAGGUUUAUACUGCUUAAAAUUGUAUUGCUAGGUGGCUGUGUAACAUAUAUAUACACACGUAGAGAAAAAUUACUCUUGUCGGUCCAGUGUUUUCUCUCUUGCAGCUAAUGUUUGUGUGUGCAGAAGAAAAUGUUUGGCGUAAUUAUUAAGUAAUGAAAAUGAGUAAGGGAGUGGGAGGGUCUCUUUCUUUCAACAUCUUGUCGAUUUGACCCGAGGAUGUUGGUACACGUGGCCUUGCUUUGUGUCAUAAAUGUAAAUUGAGACAAAUGAAUACAAAAUAAAUGUGUGGUAGUUUUUGAAUGUGGUUCUUCAUCAUCUUUGAAGGUGGAAGCAUGAAGAGAGACACAAGAUUUGAACAUGAUGACAGCACCAGGCAAGGAAUCCUACUCACAGAAGCAACACACAUGUCUAAUGUUCUCAACAAAUCUUAAUUGCUACAAUCAUCACUAAACAAUCUUCUCAUUCAUGAUCUGUGAGACAAGUUUCUCAGAGUUUCCAUUUUUUUUCAAUGUUUAAGAAAAAAAGUCAUAUUCAUGGGAUAUUCUGAAAUUCAAAAGUUAAUUGAUUUCCACUUGUAAUAUCAAAGAAAAAUAAUAAAUGAAGCCAAUACUUAUUUUCUACUUCUAUAAUUAACAUUAGAAAACUUUUAUUGACUAAAGUAGCUAUAAUUAUUGUUAUUGUUUUGGAUUUUUAAAAAAUAAUUUGGACCUGGCUUCACAAAAUUAAGGUAUAAUGUUACCAUAAUUACCAUAACCCAUAAAACAUGAGUAGGGUGUGCCUUCCGUUUACAAUGUCUCGUUACUCGUUAUGUAACAAGUUGGUUAUCUGUCAAAAAAUAUUUAUAAGUUUAUAAAUUUUAAAUCAAAUUAUUUAAAAUUAAUUCUUUAAAAUAUAAACUCAAAUAAAAAAAUAAAUUUAAAUAAAAUUGGAUAAUAAAAUAUUAGUAUAAAUAAGUUUAAUUUUUCUAAAUAAAUUUAUAUGAGUGACCAUAAAUAUUAAAUUUAAAAAAUUAAAAUAAUUUUAAUUUUAUAGGUCUAUAUAUAAUUAAAUUAUAAAAAAUAUUUAAUAAUUUAUAUUUUUCUUUCAAAUAAUUUUGUUUUAAUUAUUUAAUAUUUUAAAAAUAUUAAAAUAAAUUCACUGUGAUUAAUCACUACAAGAAAAUCAUUGAUUAUAAAUUAAUUUUAGAAACAAAAAAUAAUUAGUUGUUAUAGUAACCAAAUUAGAAAUCAUUUUAAAGACUAAAAAAUUUUAUAAUUUCUAAAUUAGUUUCUUGUUAAAUAAUUCUUAAAUUGAUAUUUAAUUAGCUACCAAGAAUAUAAAUAAUUGGUAGUUAAAAUCUGGAUAGCUAAUUAUAUUAAUUUAGAAACCAUAUAACAAUAAUAGAAACUAAUUUAAAAAAAAAAUUCAAAAUGUCUAUUAGUCACUAACAAUUAAUUAUUUUUUAUAUAUAAAAUUAGUUUCUAAUCAAUAAUUCUCUUAGAUAUUUAGAAGUUGAACGUCAUGAUAAUAUCUCUGGCUAGUUUUACCGAAAUAUUCACAUGUAGAAAACUUUGUAUCAUACAUUAGAAAAAAAUAUUUCAAAACUAAUAUAUGAAUAUGAUGCAGUGAACCUAUGAAAAAAUCGCUUGAAUUCUACUCCAAAUAAUUGUUAUUAAACAACAAUAAUAAUAAUAAAUUUUAUAUAAUAGAAAGUGAGGGGUUGUCAUAUUCCAUGACAUAACAGCAAAUGUUUGUUUGUUUUUAUUAAUUUCGAGUGAGAGGAAAAAAAAUAAGUUUCCUCAUUAACAAGUGUCACAAAGCCCGCGAACCUCUCUUCAUUGUUUAAGCUUUACACCAUUUUAUAAAUGUAACUAACAAUUUGCUAGAUCAAAAACAAUGAAACUUUUUGUUUAUUACUUUGGAUAUGAUUCCCUAGGUUUUAAAAAAUAAUGAAUUUAUUAUAUUUGCUAUGCUUAAUUCCAUUAAUUAAUCUAUGUACGUGUAAACGCUUGCCAAGUGUUACAAAGAAACGUACUGGUUUUCUUUAAUCAUGGCAUUCGUAUUCAUUAGCAUGUGACAAAGUCAAUUGUUCGAUUGUUUUACGCCAAUCAAGGUUGGUUUGAUUUGUGACGACUGUCCACGAAAAUGGAAGUGUUCCAAAAUGUUAAUUAAGGGCAAUAUUAGAUGGCAUUGCUUCUUGUUACUAGUGAGAGCAUUUGACAUUACACUUGUUAGAUUACUGAAUUGCGAUUUCAAAUAAACAUUUCCUAAUGAUAGGAGUUUUAACAUUCAUAUGUUGAAAAUAUUUUAAUCUGCUGAUAAAAAAUAUAUUUUAAUCUAUUAUAUAUAAUUAUUGAAUAGCGAGAGUUUUUGUUAAUGAUAGGAGUUUUAACAUUGAAAUUCAUAUGUUUGAAAAUAUUUCAAUCUUGUUCAAUACUGUGUUUUUGUUUAGAAUAAUUUCGAGUUCUAAUGUGAAUAAUAUCUUGAAUGUGAUGAUUGAUUAUAGUGAUAUCUUUUCAAGAAUUUGAUGUCGAAAUAUUUGAGAUCAAUGGUAUUUAAAUACAUAUUUUUCUCUUAACUUAUCGAGACUUUUUUUUUAAAAAUAAAACCGUGAUGGAGUUCUGAGCUCUAAAGCGGGCAAUACUUUAGAUGUGGUGAUUGAUCCUAAUGAUUUCAUAUCAACAGACUUGAUAUCAGAAUAUUGGCGCUUAGAAAUGAGGUUCCAAAGACGACGAACCCUGAACCCUAAAUUGGGAGCUUGUUCCAGUACGCCCAAUAGCCUCCUAUCACUCAGGAGUUGAGGCCUUUAAAUAUAUAUUUUCCCUUAACCCUUUAAGAUAUUUUUUAAGGACAAGAUUGUAACAUAGUUUCAAACUUCAAAGCGGACAAUACCUUAGAUAUAGUGAUGAGUCAUAAUAAUAUUAUUUUAAUGAACUUGAGGUCAAAACAAAAAUUUAUAACUAAUUUGUUUGAAUUAGUCCACAUGAUAUAACUUUAUCAAUAAUGACUAAAUUGUUAUUCACUAUUAAAAAUAUUAUUUAAAAAAGACCAACUAUAAAUUUAAGAAAAUGACAUGUUUAAUUAACAUUGAACAUUGACUAAGAUGAGUUAUAAUGUAUUAAUAUAUUUUAAGAAAACAGUAAAAUAUAUACAUACCUUAAUCUAUAUUAAUCACAAAUUUAACCAUAUAAAUGAGAAGUGUUAAUAUAUAUUAUUAAUGAGUCUCAAAGUGUUUUUUAGGCGUGUUUUUUAGGAGUGAGAAAUUUAUUAGUAGCAAACACGAUUAUAAAUGAGGCUAGGAGGAAGAGAAAAAUAUGUUGGUGUUUUUAAAGUUGGUUAAUGGUUUCCAUAAGACUGUACAAGUUAAUGUACCUGCUUAAAAGAUUAAACUUAUUUUUUGUGAGAAACAAAUAACUUGGAUACAAUAUUAAUUCUAGCUAAUGAUAGUCCACAAAGAAAUACGUAUAAAUAUAGGUUUGAGACAAAGAUAUCUAUUAGCUUUGUUCAUUUUUACUAUUAUAUGGGAGUGUUUGAGUGGGCUAAUGAAGAAAACAAAGAAAAUUAUUUUUAUAGUGUAAAGUGAGGAUGAAUAAGGUGAAAGUGGGUGUUUUACCAUAUUCAAAUUAUAUAAUCAUUUUAGGGAGGCUAAGAAGGAAAAUGGAAUGGUCAUUACAAGCACCAUGAGAAGUUUUAAAUUAGUAUUGGAACUUAAAGUCAACUUUUUUUAAAAGCAAUUUGGCAAUCUUUGGAUUAGAGUGGGAGACUAUGGAAAAUUAUGCAGAAACGUAAAAUUGUAGGAUUAUAAAAUUUUCUUUUAGUUAUUUAGAGAUUCUCAAUUGGCUAAUUUAAGAAGGGAGGAGAUAUAAAAUCCUAUUAUUUUGAAAUUUACAAAAAAAAUAAAAAUAUCCUUUGUAGGAAGAUUGGGUUUGUUAAAUUUGGUGUUACAAUUUUACUUUUAGUUCUUUAAGAUACCUCAUAAGGAUAUUAAGAAGUUUAUAGAGAUUCAAAAUAAGUUUUACAGGGCACCAAUGAAGAACAAAAGAAUAUAUUUAGAUAAGUUUUGAGAAAGCUUAUUAUUCAAAGUAACAUGGAGAUCUAGUAAUGAAAUAUCUAUUUUAAUUUAAUGAGGUUCUUCUUGAAAAAAUAGAGACGACUUUUUUAGAACUAGAGUAACUCUUUAUAGUGUAGGAUUCUUACUUUUUAAAUAUGGAGACCAAAGAAAUUUCAUUGGUGAGGAUACAAAUAAAAAUACUUUAAUUUGGUGGAGAAAUUUAAGAAAGGUGUGUGGAGGUGAAAAGGUGAGAUAAAAUGGUUUAACUUUAGAAAAUUAGAAGAUGACUCAGAUUAAAUUUUAGUUUGAAAAUGGAAAGGUACUAAUUGAUUGUCAGAUAAUUUUAAUAGAUUUUACCUUAUUUUAAAACAAAAAUAACGCAAGUGGAUAAAAGACUUAUGGAAAUUGAGGUUCUUUAGGUGAAUGAAUCUCUUUGUUUUAGGAAAGUAUUACUAUAUUAUUAUCAUUAGAAAAGGAAAAAUACUAAGAAUCAAGGAGGGUAAUUUUGUAUUGAAGGAGGAUUCUAAAGCUUUAUGUCAAAUUGACCUAUAUUCAACAACAUAAAAUAGAUAAUUAGUUGGAUUUGUAUAGUGAAAGAGUAAAAUCCUUCAAAAGUAAUAUUUUUCACAAGGAGGUUAAACAAUAAUAAAUUAAAAAAAUUAAUCUUAGAAAAAUAAGAAAGAUGAUGGAUCGAUUUUGUCUUGAGUAAGAAAAGUCACUAUUCGUGUACAUUUUCCAUUAUUUAAAUACUAUACCAAAUCCUAUUCUAUGUAAAAAUGAUUGUUACACAUGAUUAAGGUCAACAUAGUUGUCCAUACUAUCCAAAAGUUCACUUUUUGCAUAAAAAAUUUAUUACCAUCAUGCUUAAGAAGAAUGAAUAAUUCAUUCUUUAAUUUGCAAUUACAAACAAUUUAUGACGGGAGAGAAAUGUGUGCUUUAAGGUAAUAACUUGAUUGAGACAACAUUCUACAACAUACUAUGGAAUAAUAAAUUAAAUAGGUGUAUUUUUUAGUCGAAAGAUUAAAAGGUCGAAAGAUUAGUGAAAGAUAAAAAUUUAAAAGGUCGAAAGAUUGAGUGAAAGAUCGAAAAAUUAAAAGGUCGAAAGAUUGAUUCAGAAGUAGGAAAAUCAACGGUAAAAUUGAAAAAUCAAAUAAGAAAUGAAUAAAUAAUACAUUAUUGUAGCAAAGCCCAUUCAAUAGGCCAAAAACAUAGAAAAUAUGUUUAACGAAAAUUAGGUACAAAGAAUAAAAGUUCAAUAAGAGUGAAUUUUAUUUGAUAAUUAACUGAAAUCAAUUCUGACUUUAUCAUCGGAACUCCUUGCAGAUACACACCUAUCCGUGAGCGAAUAGCGGGACCAAAGACUGAGAGAUCCAAUUGACCGAGUCCAACUAGUGAGAGUCCACAAAUUAUACCCAAACGCAAACCUAAAUCAAAAGAAUAGUAAGCCGAAAGCCUAAAUCGAGAUAAAAGACCAAGAAGUUAACCGAUACAGAAGAAAGAAGAAAUUUGUUUGUAGACCCAUAUAAUAACAAUAAGUAGGAGAAUGAAUUAUUUAGUAGUUUAUACCUUACCUUCAUAGGUUACUUCGGCUGCCACGUUAAUUCAUAAAUUAUGAGUUUAUUUAAUUUCUAUUCUCACUAAUUUAUUUAAAUCUCUUUAAAAUAUUUGUAAGGGUUUAAUGAUCAUAUGUUCACAGUAUAACUUUAAAACAUCAAUAAAUAAAAAAGGUAGUAUGACCGUUAAGUAAUUGUUGUAAUAUAUAAUAAAUUUAAAAACUUUAAUAGUAACCAUGUACUAAAGAUAUAAAAUAAUUUUAAAUCAUCACUCAAUCAUAAAUUACUAUUGAUAUGAUUUUUAAGAUAAUCAUUAUAAAAGUAAAAAUAGCGUACCAUAUGCAAUAAAAUUGUUUUAAAUUAUUUUUGUAAAAUCUUUUAUUAUUUUUUGUUAUACAUUUUAAAAUUUUGAUUGAACAACACUGCAAAAGUUUGUCAUAUAUGUUUGAUUUGAUUCAUAAAAGGUGAAAAGAGGAAGUGGAUAAAGAAUAUGGAGAAAAGAAAAUGAUGAGGAAAAAAUUCAAAAGAUGAUGCUUAAAUUAGGGAAUUGCUAACAAAUGUCAACUUGCAUCCUAUCAGUCAAUGAAAUGAACAAAAUAUUUUCUGUAAUUUUUAAAUAAAAAUAUGUACAGUUCAAAAUGUAUUAUGGAUUUAAUAUUCUGAAUAUAUUAUGAAUUUGGGUUUAAAAAAAAGAUUUUGGAUUUUUUUUAUAAUAUGUUUUUGGAUUUUAUUUUUUAGAAUAUUUUUUGAAAUAUUUUUUUUUAUUCCAGAACUUUUUUUAGAAUGAGAUUUUGGUUUUCCAGUUUUUAUUACAAAAUUUUAUUUUUGGAAUACAAAAAUCCUAUUCUAGAUUUAUUUUUUAAAAAUUGCAUUUCUUUGUGAUAUUAGUUUUAUACUUAUACAAUUUACUAAAUAAAUUUAUAUAAAAUUAAAAAUAAUUAAGUAAUGAUAUUUUAAUAUGUUUACUGGAAAUUAAAAUGAUAUUUUAUAAAUUAAUUUUAAUAUUUUCAAUGCCACAAAUUAAAACUAUAACAGUUCACACAUUUAAUGUAGAAAAUUCUCCUGGAACCUCCAUAUAAUUUUAAAAAUUUAAAUAUAUUUUUGAUAGUAUAGCAAAUUGGACAAUUCAAGCACUUUUUUUUUUCUAUUUUCAAUAUCAACUUUUACAAUUCAAUAGUGAAACCAGAUCUAGAAUUAUAUAUUGAAUUGUACCAAAUCAAAAAUUUUUAUAAUUUACAAGUUGGUUUCUACAAUUCAAUAUACAAGUUUGCAUUCAAUUUCAACUAUUAGUAUAAAUCAAUAUUCAAAUAAAAAAAGUUGUAUGAAAAAAAAUGUAUUUUCUUUUUAAAAUUGAAAUUGAAGACAACUUUUAAAAGCUAUUUAUAGGAACUAUUAAACAAUGUAUUGUCCACUUACUUACUAAUAGUAAUCUAUCUUUUCUAAUUUGACAUUUAAAAGGUGGUUUAUAAGUGUUACAUGCAGGUGUCUCAUACCAUAACCUCGAGGGUUGGAAACAAAAUCCAUGUGCAUGCAAUAACACAUUAAAUCAAGAAAUUGGUUUCUAAGUUUCCAUUACAGCUUAGGAAUCAUCUGUUUAACACAAAAUGUUAAACAAACUGAAUCAAAAAGUUGGUUUUCAAGAAACAAUGAAAACUUUGAAAUCAACUUGAUUCAGUCUGUUUAACAUUUUGAACGAGUUGGAAGUUGAAUAAUGCAGCAGCUCUUUGGAAUUCUACGUUGCAAAUACCUGUUCUGCUUCUCAUGGCUAAUUCCGCAGGAACACACCCCAUUGGUUUUGUACCCGUUACAAAAACUAGUUAUGACCAUGCAAAAGAUAGAAACGUUAAGCAGGGAUGAGCAAGUGUAUAACAUUAGCGAAAACAUGUUGAUUUCCUUUUGCGAGCAUGUGAGAAAUUAAUUAAUUCAUACUGAUAAGGUCAAGAAUGUUUAAGCCAUUAGAAAAAGUGGGUCUAUGUGAUGGGAAGUCAAUGCCGACAAUUUGUUUUUCAUGUUUGGCCAUUCCGGUAGUUGAAAUCGGAUUUGAACUUGUAUAUGGAAUUGUAUGUAAAUGACAAAAACAAAUUGAUUUAUAAAAUUUUCUGAUUGUAUAAAUUACUAUUUAAAAUAAAAAAGUGUUUGAAUUCACCAACCCAAUAUAUUAUUAAAGAUAUAUUUAGUUUUUCAAAUUUAUAUGGAGGCAGGAAGAAUUUGUCUUUAUUGCUUUACUGUGUGUUUGUUUGUUGGCAUAUUCUUCCUACACCAGAUCAUUUUGAACUGAACUCAAUAUAAACAAGAGAAAAAGAUCAAAAUAUUCUUAAUGAAAUGAAAAUUAGAGUUUGAGUAAAAUGUGCACUCAAUUCAGUAGCCGCCAAUCACUCUUCAUUAUUCUCUGGUUAGUGAGCCAGCGCGAAAGCUUACAGACUUAAAUGAAGAGCAGUACAAGCACGUUCAUUGUUCUCGUGACUGAGUCAACGACGGAAUCAUACAGACACCGCGACGAAAGCAGCUUUGAGGCACCGCGACAACAGCAAACGAAGUCACCAAAAAAGGAGACGAAUCGCAGAAGGUGAGCUGGAGCUAAGAGUGAAACGGUUCCUCCACCACCACACCAACAACACCUCCUCUAUACCUCAAAUGAACAUCAACUUCCUCUGCACCUCACCCCUAUACCUUUUAGAACAAAGAAGACAGGAGCAAAAUGGAGUUUUAAAAACUUUGUUGGGUGCACAUUCAAAUUGAUAUGGUGCAGGAGAAAUUGCCUUGUUUGUUUGAGAACAGCGGCCCAAAAACUUUUUGUUGGGUGUAGUGGGCUGAACUUUUUUUUUUUCUUUCAAUUUUCUUUUUAGGAUAAAUAAUCGACCUUAGGAAUAGUUAUUCAUAAUAAAUUGAUAAUUUCUGUGAAGCGCUAGUAAAUAAAUAUAAUAAAACACGAACUAUCAUCAUUAAAAAAUCUCCGAAGAUAUAUAAUAUUUUUGAAAAACGUGCUAGUGCUUUACACGUUUUUAAUGCUUUUAGCAUUAAAUAGGACAAAAAUAAAAGCUUCUCACAUUAAUUAUUCUGUUUAUACUUUUAUACAUAUUUAUUUAUUAUGGUAUCUGUAGUUAAAUGAAUUUUUUCUUUUGAAUAAAAGUAAAAACUAUAACAAAAUCAAAAUAAUCUGAAAAUUCGCAAAUGUAUUACGAGUGCUGAUAAAAAAAAAUAGUAUUUCGAGUAUUGAGAGAAUUUGUGUAUAUCCAGGUAAUUUUAAGUUCGGUACAGUGUGAUUUUUUUAUUUUUUUUUUGGAAAGUAAUUGACUUCCUGAAUUUUUUAAGUAAAUGUUAUCCUUUGAGAUUAUUCGAAUUGUUUCAAAUUUCAAAUCUAUGAAGCACAUGCUUGGUUGGCAGUGGAGUUCCAAAAAUUUAGCAUGAAAAAUUGAACUCGCUGCAAGUGUUAUUUCAUAUACAUCAGGGAUAAAUUAAUUUAUUACACUUUAAAUUACUAAUUUUCUAUCUGACAAUGCAAUUUAAAAUUAUAUGAAUAGUACUCAAGAAAAUAUAAUAUAAUUUAAAUUUAAAUAUAUAACUCAAUGUGGUUUUUUCUUCUUCUGUUUUUAAUUUGAUUUUGUUGAAGAAAUUUACUGAGACUGUGUGGCAACAUGCGAGUAACGUAAAAUAUUAGUGGUGGAAUCAGAGUCUAUGCAUUAUCACUGUUCUUCACAAUGUUUGAAUCAUCACCACAUGCAAAGUCUUUAGCAGUGAGAGAAGAAAAUUCAGACUAUGUUCUCAGGAUUAACCCUACUCUUCUUACCAGGGAUCUCUCUUUAAAUUUUUUUGAACAAAUUCAUAUAAAACAUGAAGAAAACUCUUAUAGAUAUAAAACCUUAAAAUAAUAUAUAUAUAUAUAUAAUUUUAAACUCAUUAUUUUUUUAGACUUCUAAUUCUAACUAAUCUUGGAUAAUAAUUUAUACAAAGUAAUAUUUAAUUUAUAAAAUACACAUUCAUAACCCAUUAUAAUAAUAUAUAUUAAAAUUUCACUAAGUGAAGUCGUAUAUUUACUUAUUACUUCAACACGACUUCAGUUGUAUUAUUUUUUUAAUAAAAUUUCAUAUUAUUAAAAAAUAAAAAAUGAAAAUUGGUUGAUUGUUAAGCCUGAGUUCACUUCUCCAAUGAGAUUUGAUUUAUUCACGCAACAACAUAACAUAAUUUAGCUCACAUAAUGGAUAACUUUGUCAAGAAUAGUUGUUUCAUUUCAUAACCUAAUACAAGUUUAUAAAACAAAUUAGAAAAAUCACGAUAAGUAAACAAUAUGUGUAGUAAGGAUGUCCUUGAGUCCAAAUAUGGAUCCUGGGAGGAUGGUAAACUCAAGUACACUGGUCCAUAUAAAGUAUAGAUCUAGAUGAUGGAAUGAUUUAUCCAAAGUUAGCAUCUCAAAUUAGGGAAGUAGAUGGUUCAAAUCAAAUUUGGUUUGGCAAGUAGGGUCCGGGGAAAAGUUCAAAUUCUGGAAAAAUGAGUGGUUAACAAACUCUCAACUCAAAGAGAAAUACCCCAGAAUCUACAAUAAUUCCUUGCUUAAAGAUAGUCCUAUUGGUUGCUUCAGAAGAUGGUCUAACGAGAGGUGGGAAUGGGAUUUCUGCUGGAGAAGGGAGUGGUUCGAGUGGGAAAAACCGGUGGUAGAAGAGUUUAUGUCAAGCUUGUCACAGGUUUCCCUACUCCCAGAGAAGGAGGAUUUAUGGUUAUGGAACGAUCCCCCGUCUUACAGUUUCUCGGUAAAAUCUACUUACGAAAAGUUAGCAAACCACGGAAUUGAGGGUAAAAAUUAGUCGUUUGCAUAUCUUUGGAAUCUAAAGGUUAUGCUAUCGGCUUAGUUUUUCAUGUAGAGGGCCUUAUCGGAUAGGAUAACAACUAAGUUGGAUAUGCACAAAAGGGGUUUGACGUUGAGGGAUACAUUAUGUGCGUUAUGUGGAAGGGAAGAGGAAUCAACUUCACACAUUCUUGUCUCAUGUAAGGUAUCAACUACAGUCCGGAACUUGUGUAAUAAUUGGCUUGGAAUUAGCUCGGUGAACCAUAAUGAGUUGACUAAUCAUUUUGAACAGUUCUCAUAUAUCUGCUUUAAUAAAGAAGGAAAUAGUUUGUGGAAAAGCCUAUGGGUAUAUGUGAUAUGGUGUAUCUGGACACAUAAAAGCAAGGUUAUCUUCAAUCAAGCAAAGAUAGAUGCAGUGGAAAUUCUUACCAUGACACAAGUUCAAUCUUGGGCAUGGAUGAGUCAUAAAGUAAGGAAAGUCAAGUUCUCUUUUUCUGAUUGGAUCUUAUGUCCCUUAACCUUUAUUAACAUGGUAACAAAAUAAUUUUUUGUAUUAAAAGCUUUAUUUGCUCCAUAUUUGCUUGUUUUUUUUUGUUUGGUGUUAAUGGUUUUGAAUGAGAUUUUUGUAGCAUGUGUCAUUGUUGUGAAAUAGUUCUGGUUAUGCUUUGGUACCUUUGAAAGGUUGAGUUUUAUGAUACAAGGUAUGUUAUGAAUGAGAAGUGCUUUACUACAAAUAUGUCAUCAGAACAAGGCUUUGGAACUAAAAUCAACAACAACAUCUGUGGUGCAAUGAUGAUAGGGUAUAUGCAGAUUUGGAGAGGAAGAUGAAUUUGAAUGGUCAUCUGCUAUAUGGGUUUUAGCAUUUGUUGCUGUAUUUUUUUUAUCUGUUUUUUGCAUUAUUUUGCAGCAAACAUGGCAAACUUUUUUUUUUUAAGUUUGUUGUUGUUUUGUUCUAUUUUUAUUUAUCUUUUUUCAGUUUGUAUAAGGGUUGAUACACCUCUGAAAUGUUUUUUUUAAUUUAAUUUUAUUCUUUGCUAAAAAAAAAAAGUAUGAAAUAUAAAUACCCAUAUUUAUGUUGUCCUUUUAACUACAUUUUAAAACUUUUUAUUGAAGUUAGAGACAAUCUAAUGGAUGCAAAGGAAAUAGUUUGCUUAAAUUUUAGAAACAUUUGCUUAUACUUUCUCACAAAGAUUACUAUAAUAAUAAAAAGAAUAUAGAUGUAUGUGUAAUUUGAAAAAAAGUAUAUUAAGAAUGAUAAUGUAAUUUACUCUUAAAUUAUUUAGAAGAAUAACUAAAAUGAACAGGGAAAUAUAAACAUUAAAUAAAAUAUAAAUAAGUAAAUAAAUGUAUUAUUUAUUAUUAUCAAUAUCUUGAAUUAUAAUGCUAAAAUAAUGAAAUAAAUAUUAAAAGUAGAACAGUGAUUAAAAUAAAUAAUUUAAUAUAAAAAUAUAAAAUUAAUAACAAAAUUAAAAUAAAACAUGCCUAUUAUUUAUCAUUAUAAUAUCUUACGUAAUAAAAAUAAUUAUAACACCCUACUUAAUACAAAUAAAUAAAUCUUACAUAAUGAGUGAUACAAGAAAAACAAUAAAUAAAAAUGAAAGUUUUCCUUACGUGAAUUUUAAUUUUUUUUAAUGAAUAUUCAAAAGAAAAGAAACUAUAAUUUAGUAUUUAAAAAACAUAACUUGAAAUAGUGGGUAUUAAAAAGCACUGCAACCAUUGAAAGUACAUUUUUAUAAUUUUGUAAGCAAAUUGAAUUUUCAAUAAAAAGAUAAAGAUAUUUAAAAUAGGUAACUAUAAAUGGUAAAACAUAAAAACAAAUUAAAGAUAUUUAAUUUUAAAAGAUAGGAAUACAAUACAAAUAUGUAAAAAUAUAAUAGAGUGGAGAUUCUGUUACUUUGAUUUAAAAUUAAUUUAAUACUACAAUUUAUAAAUUUUAUUUUAAAUUUAAAAAUAUAAUCUAUAUUACUAAGUAUUUCUUUAUUAUAAAUUAUAUAAAAAAAAUAUAAUUUAAGAAUACAUAUUAUUUAUUAAUUAUAGUUAUGUAAAAAAAUUAUUCUGCCAUACUGAAUUAAUAGUUAAUUUGUUCUGAUAUAAACAGUUAAUAGCUGAGCUCCUAAUUUGAAUAGCUUGAAAAUUUUCUCCUUUGGCCAGGGAAAAUCUACUGAGAAUUUGAGAUUCCAAAAUUUAAUUUAAAGGUUAAAAAUAUCAUGGAGAAGAAAGGCAGAGAGGAAGACACAUGAUAUCAAACCUGAAAAGGAUAAAACAAAAAUCAAUAUUCUUGUUUUGUGUCUGUCUGAAAACCAAAGGUGAUGCUGUGUGCACCACCAUUCCAAGAUGCCAUUUAUUCUUCAUCCUUCUAAAUUUCUUUGCUCUUCCAACUGCACAAUAAUACCAGUUAAGGACACCACUCUUUCCGCUAACAUCUUCAUCAAGAAACCACAGACCAAUCUCGAUAAGAACCAAAAGUUCCGUUCUUUUGCUAAGAUUACUCUUUCCACUCCCCGUGCUUCCAUAGUUUCUAAGAAAGAUUCAAUUUUGGGAUAUACCCACUUCACACUUUGCUCCAGGAAUGAUGGGUUUGAUGGCUUUUCCACUGAUGUGUCUCAGGAGGCUAUUGAUGAUGGAACCACCACUCAAGAACUUGAGAAGCUUGAGUUGCUAAACAAGCCUUCUCCUGUGCUUGUUACGGAAGAGCCUUCAUCUGAAGUUGAAGAAGUGGAAGAGCAAGAAAAGCCCUCGGAAGAGGAGGCUUUGGCACCUUUCUUGAAGUUUUUCAAAGGUAAGGAUUCCGGGGAGAAUGUUGAGGAAGAGGGUGAGGGGUUGGAGGUUGAGAAUGAAGAGGGAGAUAAGAAGAUUAAUGUUGAGUACUAUGACCCAAAACCUGGAGAUUUUGUGGUGGGUGUUGUUGUUUCAGGUAAUGAAAACAAGCUUGAUGUCAAUGUAGGGGCAGACUUGCUAGGUACAAUGUUGACCAAGGAAGUGCUUCCCUUAUAUGGUAAGGAAAUGGAGAACUUGUUGUUUGAUGUGAACAGGGAUGCUGAGGAUUUCAUGGUUCAGGGGAAGAUGGGAAUUGUGAAGAAUGAGGAGGCAAUAAGUGGAGUACCAGUACUCGGAAGGCCUGUUGUGGAGAUUGGAACCAUUUUGUUUGCUGAGGUUUUAGGUAGGACAUUUAGUGGCCGGCCAUUGCUUUCCACCAGAAGAUACUUUCGCCGGAUUGCCUGGCAUCGAGUGAGGCAGGUUUUUCUCUAUCUUUUCUUCCGUUUUUUCCACACCACUAUGUUUAGUUUAGUAGAUAUUGUUGGAUCACAUCCGAAAUGGAGAAACUUUUAUGUGACGCAUAAAUACAUAAGUAUGUAUAUAAAUGAGUGAAAACCUGAGCUUAUCAACUGGUUUUAGCUGAUUUUAUUUUUAAGGUUUAGUUAGUUUAAAGUUUACCUUUUAACAGAAAUUGUUCUUAAUGGAUAUUCCAAUUUCUAUGCUAGAAUUUUUUUAUGUGAGGCAUUAUACAUACUUGCAUUUGCUUCGUGUAUCUGCAAUGGAUACAUAUUGGACACAUUUGGAUACCUUACCUAUGCAUGUUCGUGAAAUGUGCAAACCUUUUAUUUUAGUUGUUUUGAAAAUCUGAGAUGGCUGAAUACUCCGCAGUAUGGCUAGCAAGAGGGUGGUUGGAUAUGUAUCAUAUGGAUCCUUCAAUUUCUGAUUUUUCAUUUUCCUCUCACUAUAUGGCAUGAGAUGUUGCCUAUAUCAAAACUUGUUUUUUUCUCUUCUUUCAUGAGAUCAACAAUUAGAACUUGGUCACUGGACAGAGCAAAGUUGCAGUCAUAUUACGAGCAAAACAAAGAAAAUUUCCUUUUUCUAUUAUGAAUGAUUUUCUAGGAGGAAAUAAGAUUGAUACUACUGCUUGUUGGCAAUGGGCAGUGAUUUAUGACAACAUAAUCUAUAAUUUUCAUUCUAUUUUUAGUAAUGUUCGUGAAGCAUGCUUAGUUUGCAUUUGUUGAACUGCAAUUAAUUAUUUAUUAUGUUUUAUGAUUUUUAUGCAUAUCUAUAUGUGUGUGUUGCACGUAUGAUGUCCUUUAUAUCUUAAAAAUAGUAUACACAUGGUAUUUGAGAUUCGCCUUAUCCAUGCUUCCUUCUGGGUUUGACAGUUCUUAUGGCUACUUAAUUGUAAAAAUAUAAUAUUCAUGAAUUGCCAUUUGUCCUCCAUUUAAUAGUUACAAGAAAUUGGUCCUUCUAUGAUAAUUGAUGCCAAUUUUGUCUGUCAAGGUCAAUCUGUGUGAUUUUAAUGACUAAUUUGAUGGAACAAAUACGAGAUUGAAGGCUCAAUUUUGCUUUGUGUAUUGGCAUGAUCAAUUUUGAUAUUAAUGUAUUACAAAUUGAGGACGAAUACAUAAUGUGUAUGUUUGACAGGCCAAAAUAGAUAGUUAGGGUGUGUUAGAUUGUGUUUUAGUUUCUAAAAACUAUUUCCUUCUGUCCUUAUAAAAAGGAUCAGAGGUAGUUUUUACGAAACAACUUUCCAAAUCUAAUUUUUGCAGAGUAGGAGUGAAAAGAUGGGACAAUGUAAGAAAAACAUGAAUUAUAGAAAACUUGAUAGUAGAAAACCAAAACAACUUAGGGAUGUUCUAUUUUUUUAUUUUAGAACAGAGAAAGAAAUACUGUUUUUGGAAACAGUUUUAAAAAACUAUUUAUCAAACAAGUUUAUUGUCCCUAAAAACAGAAGAUAAUAGGAAACAAACAGGCUGUUACUCAAUUAUUUUGUAUCAAAGUGUCAAGCAAAUAUUACAUCAUAUUUAUCCUGAAAAUGUAGUGCAAAGGAAAACAUAGUUUGAUCUAAUAAUAAAAUCCAUGCCCAUGAUCUCACGAAUGUUGUCUUAUCUUUGUUCCAAUCUUAUCCCAUGUAAAGUCAAAUAACAUCUUUCUAAUGCUGGUGAGAUUUAAAUUUACAAUCUUUUUAAUGUUUUGGGCAGAUAAAACAGUUCAAUGAACCUAUAGAGGUUAGAAUUACCGAGUGGAAUACUGGGGGCCUGCUAACAAGGGUCGAGGUUUGUGCCAUUGACUUGAAAUUUAUGUUCAUGCGGCAUUCAGGUAAAUGCUUAUCUCUUUUUGAAUUUGUAUGGGCAGGGUUUGCGAGCUUUUCUACCCAAAGCUGAGCUUGUAAAAAGAGCAACUAGCUUUACAGAAUUGAAAGAAAAUGUAAGUUGCAAGCCUUGGAACUUUCCUCCAAUCCAUGAAAAAAAUAACAUUUUUCUUAUUGGGAUGGCUUCUGCAAUAUUCUUAUUUUAUUAUCUGUUAUUUGUUAGAUCUGUUGAUUGAUAACAAUAUGUACAGCUUCACAAACAGUAUCAUUGCACUAAGUUUAAUUCCUAUAUAGCUGCUGUCUGAGUGUAAAUUUAUCCUAUAUGAUCUAUCCUUUCAAUUUUCAGUUAUUCUUUAAGUGAAACUAGUUUUUUUUUUAAGUUUUAUACAGGUUUGUUCCUCGAGUGAGUAGCUAAAGAUUUUGACUACUUCAUAGUGAUUAGUGAUUAAGCAUCUAAGGAAGUUCUGACCUAGUAGUCAGAAUGAUGUUUUCUGUUGUUCUGUAUUCUUUAACAUACCCCAAUCUUAAUUCGCAUAUAUUAUUAUGGGGUUCACAUUGUAAAAAGUGUGAUCUAAAAGUUGUCUUCCAUAAUACGUUUUUGCUUUAUGAGCUUCCUAUACAUUACAAUUUCAAUUUCUUUCUUGUAUUUAUGGUUUCUUUUUACACAUGGAAGACUCAUUAGUAUGACAAAACACAUUUGUUUCUGCUAUUGUCAGUCUUUAUUUGGUUUCCUAUGCAUCUUACCACCACUUGAUUACAAUGACGUAGGUGGGGCGCCGCAUGUAUGUACAAAUUACUCUGAUAGAUGAAACCAAAAACAAUUUUAUACUUAGUGAAAAGGAAGCUUGGGUUAGUAUUCAACUCUUCCUAUUUCCUAUUCUUCCUUGUUCUUUUGCUUUAUUUUUUCAAGAUAUGUUUUUUAGGCCUUUCAUUUUCUUCUUGGUCUUCUGAAAUUUCCAGUGCACAAUAUAUUUCAGGAAAAACUGAAUCUUCGUGAGGGAACACUUCUAGAUGGGACUGUGAAAAAGAUCCUACCUUAUGGAGCCCAAAUUAAGCUAGGAAAGAGUAACAGAAGGUCAGUCACCGUUUGGAAAUGUAUGGAUUUGGCCAUUUUUUUUAUCUUGUUUGAUAAAUCACAACUUUCUUCAAAGGGAUUCCGCGAGGUAUUAUUCUUUUUUCAAAGGGUAAUCCUGUCGUAGAGAAUCAUUGGAUGGUUCCAGUUUGAAGAAAUGAAAACUCUAUUCAAGUCCGUUUCCUAUACAUGGCUGAUAGAAAAGAUAGAGAAUAACACAUUUGUAAAGAAGAGCUUUUAACUGAAAACAUAUGAUAUACCUUAUAAAUGGGUAGCUACAAGUGUUUGCUUAACUAAAAACCUAUGAUUUGCCUUAGAAAAUAACAUGUUUUUAUAAUCUUUUGACAUGAUCAAUAGGUGAAUAAUAGCUCUGCUGCAGAUGAUAUUAUGCUGGAACAUGCAUAGAUUCUGGGUACUAAUGGGGGGAGCGAUUCAUGAAUCACUUUCUGACUAGAUCCUAGAGUGAGAUCUUUAAUAUAAAAGGUAUAUAAGAGAACCUAGUGUGCCCCAUCUUACGGAUCUAUUGAAGGGUAUUCCAUAACAUUUCUGACCUGCCUAAAGAAACCAAUGUUUAACCUUUGGGACUUGUUGCUUCCAUUUGUCUUAAAAAGAUUCUUCACAGCCUAGCCUGCAAAAGUAGAAAUUCAUGCUUCAGAGCUCACCUGUAGGGAAAAGAUGCAAAAUAAAAACCUUGAACCCCAAUAAGAAAAAGAUAUUUUAACCCAUAAGAGCACAAUUGUGUAAGUACUUUGCAUAAAAAGAAAAGUUGAAGCUCCAAAAGAAACAUUUGAAGUUUUGAUCAGCAGCACUAGUUAGCAGUUUUAGGGCUUUUACCGUCUACUUCAUAAGAAUUGUUUUCCUUUAAAUUUCAAAACAACACAAGAGAUGUAAAUAUUUCCUCAAAUUGUUUGCAUUGCUUUUAUCUAGACUAUUAAGCAUUGUAUUGUUUUAAACCCAAAGUAGACGCAGCAUAAAUGUAAAUUUAAUUGGUAUUGGUGCAACUUGCACUGAACCUCGAUUCUCUUACUAAAUGAAGGGAACAAAAAUAAGGUUUCUAUCUAUCCUUGCAUGACUUUUGUUAUUUCCCUAUCUUUCAUAGUUUUAUAUUAUUCCCAUUCUGGUCCAUUAUAUCGCUGUUCUCUCUCAUCUGCCACUAUGGCUUGGCUGCUUUGUUUUGAAGAGGCUUCUUAGGCAUUUUUAUCAUCUUGAAGAUUUAUAUAUCAACUUCAUGACUUCUAUUCUUAAAGUUGGAUUAAGCUGGCUUACAUCAACCUGACAUUUUGAAAUUUAAAUGUACCUAUUUGAUGCCUUUCAGUGGAUUGCUGCAUGUUUCAAAUAUCUCUAGAGGUGAAAUUACUUCUGUCAGUGACAUACUAUCUGUUGAUGAGAAUGUCAAAGUUCUUGUUGUGAGGUCAAUGUUUCCUGAUAAAAUUUCUUUAAGGUAAUGGAUUACUGACUUUAACUUCUGUAAUUGUUGGUACAUUCAGUUGAUUCCUGUUUCUGUAAUAGCCAACUUUAACUCCUUUUGCUUUUCUUUCUAUGCAGCAUUGCUGACCUUGAAAGUGAACCUGGCCUUUUUAUAUCAAAUAAAGAGGUAUAUUUAUUAUUUUCUUAAUAAAGACCCUGUUUUGAUAAACUUCUCAAUAAGUUCUUGUAAGAGAAGGAAAUAAGAUGGUAACCCAUAAGCUAAAAUCAUCCCAUGCACCUUAAUGUUUAUAAAAGUGAUCUCAUUUAAGUUCUUUUAAAGGUGUUUUAAUUUAUUUUGUUCUCUUAAUUUCUUUUUCUAUUAGUGAUUAUUGAGAAGUUUAUCCAAACAAAGUCAAAGCUGUCUUUGAUUUAGUUGGACUGAUACUGAUAGAUGUCUAAUGAUAUUUUUGGUCAUGAAAAGAGAGUUUAUCUGGAGGCAGAUAUGAUGUCAAAGAAAUACAAGCAAAAUCUACCACCUUCUGUCAAAACUCAACGAUUAGAACCCAUACCAACCAGUACCCUACCUUUUGAAAAUGAAGCACUUUAUGCAAACUGGAAGUGGUUUAAGUUUGAAAAAUAAUGAUGAAACAAGUUGACAAAAAAGCAUGAUAUUAGUUGCUGACAGAAACUCAACUAAGAGAACUUGACAUUGCAUGGGGGUGUGCCUCUCUGGAAGAACACAUGAAAAGACUGUGGUUUUCGUUUUGAUGCUGUCAUUGUUCUCCUCAUGAAUACCAUAAAGAUUACAGGCACUGUGAGAUCAAAAGGGUCAGUCAGAGCAUAAUUAACUUCUAUUCUUUCUUUCCAUUUUAUCUUAAUUUUUUCUCUUGUGGGGUAUCUAUUUAUAGAUAGAUUCAUGUAGCUUUAUGUAAAUUCUGGGAUAAAUUUUGAUGAACACUCAGGAAAUCUUUUUGCACUAUCAUAGUAUUGUGUUAACACUUUAUUUUUUUACCUACAUAGAAAGUGAAUCUUUAUUUAAAAACUAAAAAGAUAUAAACUUCAUUUUAUUAAAAACUUAACAUAGAUAAACUUCAUUAUUUUUACCUACAUUUGAGCUCAAUUCCCUACAAAAAUUAGAACUUUAACCGCAUAAAAAUAAAUAUAAUGACAAAGGCUUUUGUAAAAAUGUAUUUUUUUUUUCUCAUUUCAUUUUAAGGGACUAUUUUUUAAUAUUCAUAAGCCAAUUCCUUUCUAAAAUUUAUAAAAAAAAAUAGAAACUAAGAAAUAAAAACAGUUGCGAUAUAAUAUUUUUCAUUUUCUGUCUGCUGUUUUCUUCAAAUGUCCCUGUUCAAAAAAUGAAAAAGAAAACAUAUAAUUUCCUUUAUUAAAAAAAUUAUAAAUGCCCCAUGUUUUUAUAUUCAAACUACACAUGGUAUUCCUAAGAAUAAGGAAACCCAGGAGAAGCAAAGUAGAAAUUUUCAAUUUUACUAAGUUUUAAAAGAAAAUCACUACAGCACCUUUAUAAGGUAAAUGUGCUCUACCCAUCCAUGCAUUUGCAGUAAUCAAAUCAUAUCAAACCAUUUUCAAUAGGUACGUUUUAUUAUUAUAACUAUUUAACAUUAAAAAUAAAAAAGCUAGUUAUAUCAUUUAAAUAUUUAAAUUCUAAAUAUUCUAUUAUUUAUGCUUUUAGAAUUUAAAUAUUUAAAUGAAUUUUGUAUUUUUAUUUAUAAAUCAAAAUUUUGAUUAUAUAAUUGAAUUCUAUUAUUUAUACUUUUAUAAUUUAAAUGGAUUUUCUAUCUUAUUAAUAAAUCUAAAUCUAAAUUACUAUAAUAUAUAAUUGAAUUAUAAAUAAUAUAAUAUAAAUAAAAUUACUAAAAUAAUAGUCUACAAUUUCGAAUAAUGUAUUUUAUUAAUUCUGAUGAAAAAAAUAUUUUUUAAUAUUUCUAAAAAAAAUACAAACAAAAUAUUAAAUUACAAAAAGAAAACACCCAAAAAAAUCAAAGAAAAACCAUAAAAAAUAAAAAUUGAAAAAUUUGAAAGAAAAAUGAAGUAUUAUAUUUUGUCUUAAAAAAAACAACAUAACCUACUGUUUUCAGAAGGCUAAUCGAUUAUACUUUCCUUUAAAAAGUAAAUUAAUUAAAAUAUUAUUAUUAUUUGAAUAUUUAUAUUAAUAUUAAUAAUAUUUUUAUUAUAAAUAUAUUUAUAUUUUUAGGUAUAUAAGUAUUUUUUAUUAUUAAAAGUAUAUUUAAUAUUUUUAUUUUUAUUAUGAAUAUAUUAAAUAUUUUUUAGAUAUAUAAGUUUAUUUGGAAUAAAAUUAAAUAAAAUUAAGUGUUUGUAAGUGCUUAUGUGACUCAUUGAUGUUUCUCUUUAAUAAUGCAAAACACCAUAAAUUAUUUAUCUGUACAUCUGUUGAUGCAAACAGUUUACACUCUCACAUUCUCAUAUUCGUCCGCCACGUGAGGAGUAUGAUAAUUUGGUACAGCUAGUAUUAAAACUAUUUUUUCCUUUUUCUAUUUUUCUCACUUUCUUCUCCUUUUCCUCCCGGCAAUAACGCACUUUCCAACUCUUUCUUCUUUUAACUUCCAAAACAUAUGUAGCAUUGUUAGAAUAUGUGUAUCCAACAUGAAUGCAUUAAAAGAAAUAUCCGAACCUCGUAACUUCCAACCCUUCUUCAUCUACCAAAUCAAUUUUAACCUGCACUUUAUAUUUUUUUUAAUUUCCAAAAUUAUUCUUAUUCCAAAUUUAAAAUUAUGAAAUAAUAAAUAUAAUUCAAAAACUAAAAAGAUACAUUUAAAAAAAAAUUAAAACACAAAGUAAAAGUUUCCAAAAAUUCAAAAAUAUAUUUCAGAAAUUCAAAUCCAAAAUAUUUCCGAAUAAAAAGUUCCAGAAUAUAAUUUUUUAAGAUUAUUAUUGUCAUUUUGUUGAAGGGACAUUUUUAUCAUUUUCAAUAACAAAUAACAAAUUGAUUACAUGUUGAAGUUGAUAUGUAAAAGAGAAUUUGCCAAAAUACAGAUGCCCAAGAAAAUUGUGACAACUGUAAUAGUUGGAUCCCCUCAUCCUCCACCCCGUCAAUCCCUUAUUCCGAAACAAGAUAUCUCUUAAUAUAACGGUUUCUUCAAAACCAAUGUAAAGCUUUGCAGUUAUGUACCAAGUUUAAUAACAAAAUAUUCAAAGAGUAUCAACAAGAAGCAAAAUAUCCAAAAGUGAGCAGUUCGCAAUUGCUUAAAAUCCAACGUCACUAAUAGAGCCGAAACACAAUUGUCAAGCACAACGAUUGUGCCUUUAAAUAUGUACACUGCACAAUCUGCAUAAAGUUUUUUGUUGAUGCCUAAAGUCCACCACCGAUGAACUCGGGCAUGAGUGAAUGGACAUGAGGGAAGCUUGAGACUUGUACACAUUAAAAUAAUUUGGAACGGAGAUAGGAAAGGGAGAUGAAAAAAGGAAAAGAAUAUUUUGGUAAAAUGAAUAAACCAACUUAUCAUGUACAUCACAUAAUCAUGUACCCUAUAGCUUUUGCUAUGGUCUAAAAGCAUUUUAAAAGGCAACAUCCAAACAUAAUAAAAAUGCUCUCAAAAGCUUGGAAGCUAUUCUUAUUUAUAUAUUCAGGGAGUAGUGUGCUUUCUAAAAAUAGUUUUUACAUUUGUCCAUUUCCUAGUUUUUUUGUCAGAGUAUCAGCAUGUGCUUUCUAAAAAUAGUUUGUAAACUUCUUCCAUUCUAUAUUAUUCUCAAUGAUCCAAAAAGUCUAUUACCGAUAGUCCGCCUAUUUUCACACUAUUUAUUUCUCUCAGAAGCACUAUGAUAAAAAUGCUAGCUCUAACGUCAAGUCUACAAAGAAAACUAUGUAGAGAAAGAACAGCCGAAAAAAAAAUUAGUUCAGUCCUGAAAAAGAAAUGUGAAACUCAGACAAUUUGUACCAAAACCUUUGUUUAUAAUUUUGACUAUUUCUUGACUGCACCCUCCCCAACCAACAUGACUCCUUACUCGCAACAAAUACACAUGUAGAAUGAAAAUAACAAUAAUAAUAGACUCCCAAGACUAAUAGACUCCCAAGACCCCGAAAGCUCAACCAUUCAAGCCUCAAAAUUCAAACCCAACCCUAACUUUGCCAGCUGACAAAAAACUCACGAGGACACAAACAGCUCAGUUCAGUGACACAAUCUGGCAACUAUUAAAUUUGAGAAUAUUCCAAGAUAUGGGCGGCAAAAACAACAACCACCUAACCUUGUCAGAUUGCCAAGUAUAGAACAUGAAUAAGAAAUACUCAAGCUGAGGAUGCAGGUUCUACAGCUUUCUUAUCUUCAACUGCCUUGCUUUCCUUUUCAGAUUCUAUCUCUGUUUUGUCAUCAGACUUCUCUUCAGCUUCUUUCUUCUCUGUCUUCUCUUCAACACUUAAUUUCUCAAUAAGACCAGCUGCUGCAGAUGAUUCAUUGUCAUCCUCUGUCUUCUGGGAUUCAGCAACUUCUUGGAAUGUUUCCAUGAAGCUUUUGCAAUCUAACAGAGACAAGAAAACAGAAUAUGCUUAAAAUACAUCAAUCACUACAAUUAUGGCAAGCACAACAACGAUAUUUGUUGGGAGAAAUAGACGUUCAAUACAAAAAUAUAAAAUAUCCCUCGACCAAAAAGAGCACAAGAAAGAACAUUAGUGAUUGUCUAAAAUAUAUCAUUACAUACAAAGAAAAUAUCCCUCAGCCCAAAAGAGCACAGGAAAUAACAUUAGUUAUUGAUUAAAAUAUAUUAUUACAUGUCAUUUGUGAUCUCAAAGUCUUUAGAAGAUUUUCAGAACAGAAGAUCAUGUAACACGGAAUCCAAGUAAAAGUAAAUUAAAAGAUUGAAAAGAAAUCCAUACAAGAGUUACCGAAUGCAUGUAAUUAUAAGUUUAUAAACAUGAUUAUAUCAUGGAGAUAUAGCUCAUUAUUCAAAUUUUAAAAACCAAGAAACAUAGGCAAGUUAAAAUCUAUUGUUCUGUACCUAAGUUAUGAAAUACACCAAACAACCAAAGUCUAUUGAUUUACUAAAUUUCUUAAAAUCAAAGGCUAUGAAAUACAAUAUGACAAAAACAAUUUCAUAAACUUAACAUGGCAUUACAAAAGACAUCAAAUCAAUUUACUGACACAUGAAUAUAGUUCAAGUUAGGUCAGAUAUUCAUCACCCAUGUAAAAAUCUAAAGGAUAGAAUGAGUAAGUAUUUAUAGUAGGAUGCACGAACCGUAUAUAAUAUUUUAGUGUUUGAACCCAAUCAAAAACAUUAUAAAUAUGCAACUAUUAAAGCCAGAAAAUGUACCCAAGUCAUUUUUGCUUACUGAACCAGAUUUCUAUUGAAACUGGGAAUAUAUGCAGAUAAUUUCACUAAAACAAGAAUUCAAGACAAUACACAACAUGGAUAUUUUAUCAAAAAACUUCGGGCCAAAUUUUGAUGGCAAAGAGAUAUCAAAAUGAACAGAUGAUGAGAAUAUUAGUCAGGUCACUUAACCUUCCUCGGGUUCUAUACAUUAAAAUCAAUGUUUCUGGUAAAAAAAAAUUAUGAAAUAUUGCAAGCACACAAAAUCAUAAUAUAUUUGGAUAGAAAAGGCACCCUAACUAAAUUUCCUAGAUCACAAAACCCUGAACUGAUCAGACGAGUUCAUACAAACUUUGCAUUAGUGUUUUAGUAGGGAUGCAUCAAAUCCAACUCUAUGAUGAAGGUUCAAAGAGCAAGUGGAGGCAAGACACUGCUUAGAAUGAAAUAGACAAGAUCUACUGCAUAAAAAUAGCGAAGACUGAAGAGGAACUUCACACUUUCAAAGAUUUAUUUUGCUACCAUCACAUCUAUCAUCAAACAGAAAUUGCCAAAACUGUGAAUAUCAACCGGGUGACAACAGAUAACUCAAGGUAUGUAGAUGUAAAGUUACAAAUCGAACAACUUACUUUCAAUAGAAGGAAAUCGGAUGCAGAAAAGUUCGUCCUUAAGUUCACCGUCAGCAUAAUCCCUAGCAUGCCAAACGCAGGAUUUCUCGUUCCCAGCGUGCUCUUGCACAGACAUCGUGGCCAAAACUGAAACAAUCGAGAACAAAUAAAACAAAAAAAUUAAACCUCAAAAGCGAAAUUCGAAAUAAAAAAUAUGUAAAAGAAAAAAAAAAGAACGUACUGAGAUGAUUGGCACAGAUCUUGAGAGUCUUGGACUGCCUCAUGAGAAGCCUAACCUUGCCGGUAACCUUAUGCUUCAGGAACUUCACGGUGCCUGCGCCUCGCUCCUUCCACUGGUUCCCAUCUUUGUCAAAACGGUACAAUUUCGAUUUGCUGUGAUCAGAGAUAUACAAGUAUAAACCGCACCGAUCAGUGUACAAACCGCUAAAUCGAAAUGUAAAAGUAGAGAAAAAUGAGAGGAGUAAAUAACGUACAGAUCUAGGAUUGGAUCUUCGUCCUCCUCGCCGGUGGUUACAGCAACCUCCUCGAGUUUGACUAUAGGAGCGAUGUUAGCUCCGGUGUCCUCGUCAUCUCCGGCGGCGGGUACCUCCUCCUCCUCUCGGUGCUCGGGAUCGGCGCUCGACAUCUUUGGAAAAAGAGAACGUGUGUGGUGCUGCCGCUAGGGUUUGGAAAGUGAGGAAGGGUUUGAGUGCAGCUGGUUUGUGUGCCCAAGUGAACGUGAAUGGAGUGUGUGGUGUGAGGGUUAUUUUAAACCUUUUAGAAAAAGUAAUUUGGUACUAUUAUUCUGUGUUUUCAAUUAUUUAUAAUUUUUAAUUGGAAAAGUAAUAAACUUUACUGAUUAAAAAUAAUAAUUAAUUGUGUUAAAUUUACUAGUCUCUUGAUAUUCUUUUAUAAUUUUAUUUCAACAAGGCUUUUUUUUUAUAUUACUUCUCACUCUAAUAUUAAUAUAUGGGUAUUUUCAUUUUAUCUAUACCUAUUUAUAUAUAUAUAAACGGAAUUUCUUUAAACUGCUCUAAAUAUUUAUUUAUAUAUAUUUAUUCUUAUUUAAUAUUUUAUUUUAUUAAUUUAUUUUCAUUAUUUAAAGAAUUUAUAAUUUCAGAAGUUAAUAAAACAUUUUUUAAAUUUUUAAAUUUAUUUUAUUUGUAGUCAUUCUUUUAUUUCUUAAAGUUCUUCUUCUCUAUAAAAUAAAAUAUUAAAGAUAUUUAUUAAUAUUUGUACUGCUUUAGUAGGAGAAACGUGGGUUGAUGGACAUUUACUUUUACUUUAACUUCCUCAUCAAAAAAUAUAUUUUAUUAUUGUUACCCUUACUCUUGUUUGAAUUUUGAAAGAACUUUUUUUGUUAUUUCCUAAUUACUAUUCACUAUUGUAGCAAUUUUAAAAUUGAUUUAAGAAAUAAAUUUUAUGAUUCUCCAGUACACAUUACUCACACCCAUGUAUCAUACUUCCCACUAGGGAUGGCAAAGUGGGUCGGGCCGCUGAAAAAAACGCAGGACGAGUUGCUUAUUUCAACUCGCUGACCCGCUUAGGCCUGUCCCGCAUAACACGCAGCCCGCGCGGGCCAAGUGCAGGUUGGGGCGGGUUGGCCCGCAUAACCCAUAUAAUUUUAAAAUGUAUAAUUUUUUUUACACUCCUAUAUUUUCUUCAUGUAGCCUCAUAUUUUACAUUUUGAAAUUUUUAUUAACAUCUUAUUACGCAAGUUUUAUGAAAAUAAUAUUAUGAGACCAUUUACCUAAUGCAUCUAAAUAAAAAAAAUCAAAUUUUUUAUUUAAAAAAUAUUUUUUUUAAUAAAGCUCGCAGGCCCGCGAGCCAACCCUUAUGCAGGGCGGGUUAGAAAAAUCAGCUCGCAUUGUCACUUCCGACUCUCUCUCUCUCCUUUUCACACGUUCCUACUCCCCACAUUCUUUUUUUACCCUAUUUCCCACAUCCUUUUUUACCCUACUUCCCACAUUUUUUUAUCCUACUUCUCACUUUCUUUUCUCUUUCCUUUCCUCUUUCAUGUAAAAUCAUACUUUCAUUCUCACUUCUCUUUCUCUUUCUAUGUUUUGAUUAAUAUUUGUGAAACCCUUAUUUGACCUUUGUUUUAUGAUAUUAUAAUUGAAGUUUGUGAGUAGAGGGAGGGGAAAGACUCAACAAAAGGAGUUGUGCGCACCAUCACAACAAUCUGUAACAAUUUUAUGGAUUUAAAUAAAAUCAUACAGAGCAUUAACAAAACUAUAUUCUCAUUUCCUCAUAUUUUACAAAAAAGUUACUUCCAAUUUGUUUUUUUUUUAGUUUUCUAUCAUCACCAUUUCUCUAUCUUUGCUCAUGAUUUUAGAGACCACCUUCAAAAUAGGUUUGGUCACGAAAGAGCAUUAUGUAGAAAAGGUAUGUCAUUAUGUUCUUAACUUUACUUUUUACAUGCUAUAUUGAUAUUUUGUUUGUUUUUUAUUUUUUAAUUGUAGAGAAUUAAUAUUCAUAGCAAAAUAGAGGAAUAAGAGAAGGAAAAACUUCUGAAGCAACAAGAGUUUCAUUGUCGCGUUCACUCCCCCAAUCGCAAGGUUUUAACGAAGGAACAUUGUUAAGAGCGACGACGUUUAACCUAGAUUUGGUGCGAAAGAUAGAAACAAUUUAAAUGAGUAUUUAUACGGGUCCAAGACGAAGAAAAGAGAAGCAGAUUUCAUUGCAUUUUCUUCUUUUAUAUAUAAUAUUUUUCAUGAUUAAAGUUGAUUGAACAAUUGAGGAUGAAUUUUUGGUUUAUAGUUUAAUGUGUCACAUAUAUAUGCAACACAAUAUUAUUCCUCUAAAAAUUUUAUGUUCUCGAACGGGGUUGGGGCCUAGAGAACUAUUAGAACUACUCCUCUGCUUCCUUGGUUGGCCGGUCGGUUUGAACUUCAGUUCCUCUCCAAACAAGUUUCUUCCUCUCCUCUGUUAACUCUACUCCUCGGUCUUCACGUAGUCUAGACUCGGAUGGUACCUACAAAAGACACUUUGACGCUCAAGUCAGAUUUAGUAUUUAGCACUCGGUAUCCUGAGUAUUGUAUAAUGACGUACUUGAUUAUUGGAAUUUGUGUUAUUUAUAUUAUUAUGGUCGGCCUUUUUUAUUGGGCCAGAUUAGAGAGUUAGAUCAUGUUUAGAAGUGUAUUACCUAGCUCUUGAUUGUUGAUUAGACUCACUAAUUCUGCUUAUGCGUAGCUGGUUGUGUAGUGUCGAUCGACAUAAUAAUCGGGUCCAAGAUAUGGUCUCGGUCGUGUGGGAUGAACCAUCCACAUAUAUCAUUCAUUCGGUCGAAAGGUCUUGCUGAGGAGUUAGCGCAACGGAGAAGUCGUCUAAGCAUUGAGGUUUGAUUGCACCCCUAAGCUUAUAGAUGAUGUCAAACUCUGAGAGCUCCAUCGACCAUCCUAUCAUGCGUCCUGCAAGAUCAAGUUUAGACAAAAUCUUAAAGAUUGGAUAGUCAGUUAUUACCGUUAUGACGUGGUUUUGGAAGUACGGUCUCAUCCGUCUGGUCAUUAGGACGAGAGCGAGUGCAACCUUCUCGAUCAUUUGAUAACUCGUCUCGGCCGCAUGGAGCGUCUGACUGACAAAAUACACGGGACGUUCUUCCUUUUCCACCUCUUGCACGAGGGUUGCACACCUCCGAGACCGACAAGAAAAUAACUAUUGGUUGAUCCGGUCUCGACUUCUAAAUCACUGCCAGCGAGGACAAAAACUUCUUCAGCUGCUGGAAAAUUUCUUCACACUUGUCGUCCCAGCUGAACUUGGCUGCCUUACGGAGCAGCUGUACCAUUUGUCGUGUCUGUUCGGCCAGCUGAGGGACAAAUCUAGAGAGGGCGAUGAGACACCCUAUAAGUUGUUGCACCUUUUUCACGUUCUAAGGGCUUCGCAUCUCAGUUAUCGCCCUACAUUUUUCCGGGUUGGCUUCAAUUACCCGAUGGGUUAUCAUGAAACCCAAGAACUUGUCGCCUUUAACGCCAAACGCGCACUUCUCUGGAUUGAACCUCAUAUUUGUCUGCCUUAAUGCCUCGAAAACCUCCUCCAAAUCUUUGAUGUGUUGGUCGAAUGAGUCUGACUUUACCACUAUGUCGUCCACAGGGCCUCAACAUUCUAACCGAUAAGUUCCUUGAAGACUUUGUCCAUAAGUCGUUGGUAGGUCGCUCCAACGUUCUUCAAGUCGAACGACAUUAUUUCAUAGUAGUAAUUAUCACCGUCAUGAAAGAGGUCUUCUCCUUGCCCUUAAGAUGCAUGCUUAUUUGGUUGUAGCCAGAAUAAGCGUCUAGGAAACUGAGCAUUUUAUGGUCGGCGGCUACAUCCACUAAUCGGUCAAUGCUGGGAAGGGGGUACGAGUCCUUAGGGCAGGUUUUGUUGAGGUUUGUGUAGUCUACACACAUCCUCCACUUAUUGUUGGCCUUGGUGACCAUAAUCACAUUGGUCAACUAGGUGGUAUACCAGGCCUCUCGUAUGAACCCAAUCGAUAGAAUCUUUUUGGUCUCCUCUUUCACUGCCAAUCUCUUCUCCUCACCAAGCUUUCUCUUCUUCUGUGCGAUCGGGCGCUCCUCCUUGUAGACUGAGAGCUUGUGGGAGAUGAUAUAUGGGCUUACCCCCGGCAUAUUGAAAGUCGUUCAGAUGAAGAGAUCUACAUUAUUCUUCAGCGUCUGGUGUACCAACUCGGCCUCGGUUGUUGCUAUGGUCGUAACAACACAGGUACUAUGUUCCUCGUUGAGAAGAGGAACUUGGCGUAGCUCUUCCUUGGCCUCGAGCCUGGGCUCGUCAAAUUUCAUAGUUGUCGUUUUGCUGUCAAAUUAAAAUGAUUCCGACGUAAAUCUGUCUAACGUUAGAGAGAUGAUAGUGUAAUUGUGGUCAGAUGACCCUAAGUCAUCUCCCAACUAAUCCAAUAGUAAAAUCAGUAAAUCGGUGUUUAAAAUUUAUCCGCAAGCAAUAACAAUAAAGAUAAAAAGGGAGUUUGAGAUAGUUGUGCAGAAAAUAUAAAAGAGAUUAAAACAACAAAUAAAACGCGGUUGAUCCCAAGUUCUUCCACCAUUGAAUUCUUCACAGGUUCUCUAAAGAUUAUUCCUUUCUCAAUCCUCCAACAGGGCUAAACUAGAUUGAACAUCCGUUAAUCUAUUCAACUGAAACUCACCAGUAAAUCAUGCGUCUAUUUGUUUAAUCAAUACCCACUUUGUUCCAUGCGUAUACUCCAUGGGAAUGCUUAUCUCCUAUCUCUUGAAUCAUGCGCCCAAGAAAUUAAUUGGAACAAUGCAAACUAACUAAAAAACCAAAGUUUAAGAUAAGGAAGACUCUCAAUCAUGCGUUCAAGUACAACCUCUCACAAAAACCAGUUUUCCAGGAUUAGACUAUUAAAACAACUGUUUUAGAGAAUUAAAAAUCAAAGCUUUUAUUGACCAAUACCUCAAAACUCGAUAGGAAAUUACAAAGGAAUCAACCAAAAAGGUUUAGCUUUCCAUGCGAAGGCAAAAAAAAAAGAAUUACAAAUAAGAAAAGAAACUAAGAAAACUUUAUCAAGCUCUCAUUUUCUCUUCGAUGCUUGAGUCCUUUUAUAGGAUUUUUUGCAUUUUUUUCUUAAAGGGUGAUUAUGAUGUUGUAUUUCUUCUUUUCCUCUUACCUAAGGUCACUACCAAUUAUAUAAAUAUCACUAACCUCUUCAUAAAGUAUUGGUGAUAAGUUGGUGCAAAAUAUUUUCAGCACACUAAUAUAUUAAUGUGUUUUUCAACACCAUCCACUCCUUUGUGAAUUGGGUUCUCUCUUUGGCAAGUUAUGCAACAAUCAAGAAGGUUCAAUAAUAUGUGCUGCAACAUGCUCUUGUGCAGGUUUAGUAAUAGGUCUUGCAACAAGUUUAUAACAUUUUUCAAAAGGUGUUCAUGCCACAUUUUGUUCCUUGUGUCCAUGUGUUUGUUAGAGGUUAUUUGCCACCAUAUUCACCAAGUUCACUUAGUGUAUUGAUAUAGGGUAUUAACCAAGAAAUUCUAAUCCCUCUUACUCAUGUAGGGCUUGGAAUCCUAAUCCUACGGGUGCAUGCACAUUCCCUUAUUCUUAUUUCUUCCCAUGUGUAGUUAUUUUUUAUCCAAACAAUUAAAUUAACUAUAGGAAGUAUAAAAACAAAGGUAGUUUUUACAUGUGUUUUGAAAAUUAAGAGUCUUCAUUUCUAGAAUAGCUUUCUUUAAGUUAUUUUUGUAGCUCAUUAGCUUGUCGUUAUGUUAAAACUCUCUUGAAAUCUCUUUUAGUAGGUCCUAGAGUCUUGUCUCUUCUUCUUGGAUUUUUUGUUUUGCUUCUUUAAUGACUCCUUAAACAUGUUUUUCUUGGUUCAUGAUCACAUCUUAUGAUUGUUUAGACAAGUAUUUAGAAGCAUUAUGAUAUCAACAUCAUCCACUUUUAAGGUGCAACCCAUCCUCCAUUCUCAUUUUGCCAUUACAAAAUACAUGUCCCUAAUCUCCUUGUAUUUUUUACAACAUAUCUAAUCAAGUAUUGACAACAUUUAUUAUGAACCUUCCACCAUAACCAUAACCAUAACGCAAAACGAAAUUAAAGUUUGCAAAUAAUUAUACAAACAAUUCAUAAUUAAAAAUAAACCCUUAAUUACUCUAAAUGUAUUUACUCAAAUCAAUGAGUCAUACAUAAUAUAAAGAUUCAAUAUUUGACCAUGCAAUCAACACAAUAAGGAGAAAUGAACAACGAGUUUAUAAAUAAUAUCACUCACAAACAACUUUAAAGACAACAUACAAAGCAUUUAUAUACAAAACAUUUAUAAACAAAUUCAAUAUAAACAACUUUAAACAAUAACUAUAACCUUCAAACCACUAAUUAAUAAAUAUGCAUAUGCAUAUAGGACAAACACAAAAUGUGUUUCAUCAAGUUAAAUACAAAUACAAAUGAAUGAGAUUAAAAAAAUACACCAACAUACUUAUUACAAAGAAACAAAAAUAUAUUUGCAUUAACCUUUAUAACGGAAUGAAAUCGUAAAUUGACUUGACACUUUCUCUUCUACAAUGCUAAUCUUUGAGCAAGUUUUUUCAACCAAAUUUUUUUCUUUAAAGUCAUUAUCUCAUCUUCUUAUUCUUUUGACUUAAAUUUUUUAGUUAUACUUGAUAUUUACUAAAGGAGGGAUUCACAUGCAGACAAAGAUAUCAAUCAGGAAGUUAAAUAUAUGAUUUUUUCUAUAAAGAAUUUAUAAGGACACCGUUCUUUUAUCAACUUCUUUAAAUAUUUAUUUGUUUUCAUUAUUAAAAUUUAUAAUUUACAAUUAAAAUUUAUAUUUGUAUGAAUAAUUAGAUUGUACUUACAUCAAAUAUAUAAAUCGAAUUUCAGUCGCACAACCUUGUUGGAAAGGAAAAUAAUUUCAAUGUAUAUUUAGAUGAUGGUUUUAAAAACUUAAAUGUAUUUUUUUUUAUCUUUUAGUUUAUUUAAUUUUUGAAUAAUAAUAAUUCAAAUGGUUAAACAUGUUUUUUUUUUAACGUGAGAUUUGUUUUUGUUUCUGAUUCAAAUUUUAGUCUUUCGAAGUACUUGUAGUAUGAAAACUAUUGGAAUGAUCAUUUUAUUUUUGACAUGGCAAACAAAGUUAUAUAUUGGAUUGUAUUAUAAUAUCAUAUCAUCUACGUCAAUAAUGAGUUAGCGACAAGUGUAAUUUAUGUGUGACCAAUUUGAGACAAUAAAAACAACGUUGUGCUUGAUCGGUACAAGGUGUUAUCGUCUUGCUUGAAGUUUGGGAUUUAUCUGAAAUAUCAGUUAAACAUAUAAAAAUUAGGUUUCCAUUUCUUAAUGUCUAUGCACAUUUCAGCAAAAAAAUGGUUAGAAGAUUAGUAGGUUCAGAUAGAUAUAUGAUGAUGUUGGUGUGGAAAAUAAUAGUAAUCCAACUUACUUAUGACUCAUUGUUGAAGUAGACGGUUUAAUAUUAUAAUAUAAUCUACGCUAGAACUAUGUUUGUCACAUCAAAACAAAAAAUAACGUCAUCUACUAUUAGGGACCCAUUCCUAUCAUUCAUAUACUACAAGCACCUUGAGUGUCUAAAAUUUGAAUUAAGGAAAAUAAACCAAUUUCGUAAUAUUGUAAAAAAAAAAACAUAUUUAGCCCUAAUUCAAAUACACUUUUAUUUACUUAUAGUAAAUUGUAAAUGUUAAUCUUUACAUUUUUUUAAUUGUUAUAUUUAUAAUAAAUAUUCAAUUUUUAUGAGAUACUAAAAUUUUAAAUGAAAAAUUAUACAAUAACUAUGUUUUUUAAAAAAAUUGUGCAAUUCAAGAUUAGAAACCCGCAUGGACCUGAUGGACCUGUUCACUCCAACUCAAUUUUAGUUAAUUGAAAUGAGUUUACCUAUAUUGUCAUUCCUACAGUAAACUUCUUGAUUUUUUUUAUGGAAUAAUAUUAGUUUAUACUUUCAUAAAAAUUCACCAAAUAUAAACAUAAAGUUAUAGUAACUAUUUGAACUCUUUAAUUAUAUUAUUUUAUUAGGUAAAUUACAAUAAUUACAAUGACGCGUAUUUAAACCUGUCAUUGAAUUCAUAAAUUUAUAAUGAUUUUAUUAAGAAAAAAAUAAUUGAGUAAAGAGAAAAAUAAUAUAUUUUUUUUAUUCUUUUGUCCUUAUACUUUGAUACUAAAAUUAUCAACACUUUUAUCAUUAUUAUUCUCAAACAAUGUUGUUACUACCUGCUAUUGAUGUUACUCUUAUGUCUUCUCUUACAUAAAAUUAUUCAUAGAUAAUUAUGAGUGUGUAACUUUUGGAAUUUUCUUCCAUACAUAUUCCGAAACAUGUUCCAGUGUGAUAAUUGAAGAAUUUAAUAUUAUCAAACCAAUAUGUACAUCUUAAUGAUUAUUUUAUACCAAUAAAAAAAUCUCCAAACAAAACAUAAAAUGCCACGUUAUUAUGAAUUUGAAGAAAGUUUUACAGGAAUUUCUUCUUCCUCCUCCAUAUUUUCAUCCUACACCUCCAUAAAUAUUUUAAUUCUAAAAUUACUCUUCGGUUAAAGUGUAGGAUUUUCUUUAUUCAUUUUUAAAUUAUAUAAUCUAUAUACUUUUCAAACUCUCAAAUUUUAAAUAUGAAAUUGUAUUCUAAAUUUUAGAAUAUAAGAAGAAAGCAUGGAGGUGCAGGAAGAAAUUGCUGCAAAAAGAUGGAGGGAGUAAUAAUGUAAAGUGAGUAGAUGAGUAAUUUGUUCUUAAUGCUAUUUCUAAAAUUUUGUCACAAAAAUGAUAGGUGAACUUAGCACAAAUGGGAUGGGAAAAGGAUAAACCAAAAAUAUUUAUGUUUUUAUGCUGCAAUCCAAAACGUUGGGCCCAGACAUUUUUUUUUCUCUCCCAACGCUAACAAAUAAAAUUACACGUGUUGAGGGACUCUUUCUUCCUACACCUCCAUACCUUCUUGUGCCACCCCCAUACUAAAUAUGAAAAUACCAUUUUAUCCUUUUUUUUCACCCCCUUGGAUUUGAAAUAAUAAGCCUAUGGAUUAUGUAAUCCGGAUAAAUUCCAGAUUACAUAAUUCGGAAGUCAAUUUCAUAUUUAGAAAAGACUUCCAGAUUAUGUAAUCCGGAAGCUAAUAACACAUAUGAAAAAAAGACUUCCGGAUUACAUAAUCCGGAAGCUAAUCUUAUGUAUAGAAUAGACUUCCGGAUUAUGUAAUCCAGAAGCUAAUCACAAAAGACUUCUGGAUUACAUAAUCCGGAAGCUAAUUUUGAAUAUAAAAAAAGACUUCCAGUGUAAUCCGAAAUAUUGAAAAGGGUAUUUUUGGAAUAAGAAAAAUUUAUGGGGGUGACACAAGAAGGUAUGGAGGUGUAAACUUCUUAUGUCNNNNNNNNNNNNNNNNNNNNNNNNNNNNNNNNNNNNNNNNNNNNNNNNNNNNNNNNNNNNNNNNNNNNNNNNNNNNNNNNNNNNNNNNNNNNNNNNNNNNUAUUAUUACUACUAUUAUUAUUAUUGUAUAUAUAUAUAUAUAUAUAUAUAUAUAUAUAUUUUAGUAUCAUUUGUCUACUUAAACAAAUAUUAAUAUAUAUUUAUAUUUGUUCUAGUACGUCUAAUAAUUUCAAAUCAUCUUUUAGAAGUUAAGUUCAAAGGAAAUUUAAAUACACAUUUUUCUCUUAAUUCGAAGAGACGUCUUUUAAGGACAAUAUCUCAAAUGCAGUUAUUAACCUUGCGAAUAUUAUCUUAACGAACAUAAGAUCAGAACAUAUAUCAUAUUCAUCUUUCAAAGAGAACAUGUAUAAUAGUAUCUAAUUUAUUUAUAUGUGUAUUCAAAAUCAGUGCUCUGCAUAAAUCUAUCAUGUAAGUGCAGUGUAAGAUGUGUUAAAGGAACCUAAGACUAUAUUGUUUUUUUGUUGACUUUUAUCGUUUGCUAGUUGAAUUUCUAAGUCAUGUUGUAAGAUUUUUUUAUACUUAUAAGAGUUUAGACACUCCUGAAAUAUCUUUUUUUAUUCAUUUAUUAUUUAUUGAUAAAAAAAUAAAAAAUAUAGUCUUUCCGAGGUCGAAGUCAAGAACAAUACUUCAGAUACGAUGAUUAAUUCUACUGAUAUUAUCUCAAUAAACAUAAGGUCACAACAUAUAUCAUAUAUAUUUUUUAAAAAAACCAAUAGUAUGUAAUUUAUUUAUAUUUAUUCAAAUUAAAGACGUUCUUUUGGAAGAAAAUCAUUAGCUCAAAUUGAACAAAUAUAUAUAAUCUUCAUAUUUUAUUACAUUUUCAAAUGCAGAUCCAUGGAAACAUUUAAUGAAUCAAACAACUACAACUUGUUGCACUACAACACUUUACACGAGAAAUAAACAUUUACAAGAAAACAAACAAAAUUUACAUAAUUUAAAUAUAAAACACCCAAAAAUUUGAUAACAAUUGAUAAUACAAUAUAACCAUAAUCAUACAACAAAAAUAAAUGAAUAAUCUAUUUUAUAUUUAAAUUAUAUAAAAUAAAAGAUUCACAAAUAAUACACAUGGGUAUGUAUUUAUUGAUGAACUUUUAAAGCAUAAAAAUUAAGCAAUAAUGUAAAGACUUUAUGUGCAUGCAGAUUACACCCUAUGAAAAUAGAGAAAACCUCUUCAAAUAUUUUGAUAUCCAUUUUCUAUGAGAGGAGGAUAAAAAAGUGAUAACUCCAUGUCCAAAAUGUAAAAUUACUCUUAUAAUGUUUUGAAGAAAAACAACUAGACAAUCAAAACUAAUUAAAAAAUCACAGUACAUUUUAUUUCUAAAAUAUAUAAUAACACUUGUCAUUUCUUAGUUAAGAAAGUUACAAUGUGCUCUAUUUUUAAACGUAUAACAACAUUUGUUAUUUGUUAACAAAUUAAUAAAAAAAUCAUAAUAAAAUUUGUAACAACAUUUACUAUUUUCUAUUGUUAACAAAUUAAUUAGAAAAUCUCAAUAUAAUUUAUAAUAUACAUAUAUAUAUAUAAAUAAAUUUGUUUUUUAACACAUAUUUAUGAUAUUUUAAGUGCUACUAAAAAUAUACAUAUAUUCUAUUUAAAAUUAAUAAUCAUUCGAUCAUAUUAAAUUUUCUAAUUUAAUAAUUAAAUAUUAAUUCUCUAAUACAUUAUUCAAGGUAGACAUUUAGCUAUACUUUUCAUAUCUUGUUAUUUAAAUAUAAAUAUAAAUAAUUAAAAAUCUAUUGAUCUUCAUUCAUCAUGAAAAUAAGAAGAAUAAGAGUAUACAAUGAAAAACUCUUAAGUAUAAAUUAUAUUGUUUUUUUACGUUUAAAAAAAUAACACAUGUAUGAUUUCUCUCCAUUUCUAAGAGGCAACAAUAUAUGGACAAUUAACUAAUUAAUAGAAGAAUUGAUCCUAAAAAUAAUUUUAAGGAGAUCAUAUUGGCACCCCCUUUACAUCAUGAUAGGGUUUGGGGCUCUAUGAACUUAACUAUGAUUAGAAUAUAUGCUUACAUAUGAGCAUUCAAAAUCUUCCUUUGCACAUCACCAUGGAAUUUAUUGUGAAGUACAACUAGAAGGGACUACAAAAUCACAUAUAUCCCAUUUUCUUUGUUUUUUCUUUACCCUUAAUAAACAUAUGAAGUAGCUAGGACCCCGGAAAACAAGGGAACCCUACACACUCCAUAUACAUCCAUUCUCUAGCUAGGGUUUUUAGCCUAUUGCAUUUAUGAGCUACUAUAAAAAUGCUUAUUAUAUAUACUUUAAUGGAUAAAAAAUUUAUUUUUUUACGCAUAUAUUUUUAAAUACAAAAGCUCAUAAAAUAAUAGAUUCUUGUUCCCUGUGUAGUUUCAGUGCAGAGUGCAGAAGCCUAGGUUUAAUGGAUUCAUCAUGUCCUAUCGGGAUAUGCCACAUAACUUAAUAAAUAAAACUUUCAUAAACUAAACUAAUUAUAUAUACACCAUUAUGAAUCACAAUUCAAAUAAAGUUUUGUUUGUAAAAUUGAAACUACUUUUUGUAUUCGUAGUUGUUGUACAUAGCGGCGCAUUAAAGUAUUCGAAUAUUUUUCAAGUGACUCUUAGUUGCAGGGUCAAAUUAUUUUUUCCCUAAAUUAUUUAUUGUCUUUGAUCAUCGUUAUUUAAAUUGGCGUAGCCCCAAAAGGGCGAAAAGAAGACGUAAUUAUGAUGUACAUUAAAUAUGAAGAUCUUGGUUUACAAUAUACGUUAAAAGAGGUACGCACACACUAACAUUUUUUCACGAAUAACUCAACCAUUGAGUCAAUCAUAUGCUUUUACCUUAAGAAAUGCAAAAGGGUGCUUUGGCUACUUUGACAGCAACGUUUUUGUAAUGGAUAAUAUGGUCUCAUGCAAUCUUACAUUUUGCAUAAGUUUUGAAACAUUAAUUACUUUCCAACAUAUUGUUUCAACUUUUGGUAGGUUACCAAAGAAAAAAAACGAUAUUUAUUCUCUUUUUAAAAGUUUUUGUAUUUUCUCUAUCUUGUUAUACUCUUAACCUAAUUGAUAAUAGUAUAAUAUAUUUAAUUUACUAAAUUUGAUUUAAUGCGUUUUUGUUUGGUGUGCACAUUUAUAACAUCGUGAAAGAUCUAUGAUAAUAUUUUCUAUCGUGAUUACAUUAGUCAUAUUGUGUUAAUGAAUAUUUGUUGAAUCUAUAAAAACCAUGUCAACUACCUCACUUUACGAAUAUUUAUGAUACAUAUUUUUUUUUUAAUAGAUUUGAGUGUAAAAAAGAGAGAUAAAAAUAAAAAACAAAUGAUAAAUCUACCAUAUAAUAAAAAAUAAAAUAAUAAAGAAAGAAACAAGUGAGAAUGAAAUGAACAAGAAAAUAAAUAUAUAAUCAUAUUACUUAAUUAUUACUUGAAUUACUUAUCAUUAUUCUAAUUAUUACUUUUGAAUUACUUAUUAUUAUUCCAAUUAGUGAAUAUACAAGAAGAACUUAUAAGUUUUAAAAAUAUUUAAAAUGUUUUUUUUUUAAUUUUAAGAUUAAAAAUAUAAGUUUAAAUAUUUUUCGUUUUGAUAAAAUUAGUUAAACAUAUUUUUUUAAUGAUAUUUGAUGACAUCAAGGAUCAUAGUAUUAUUCUAAUGAAAGUACUGGUGUUGAAGGUUAGUGAUAAAGUGAUAAUAAUGAUAAUUAUUUUAAUUAAAUUAUUAAUUAACAUAACUGAAACAGUGUUCAACCCACAUAAACCCAAGCCUAAUAGUGCCGCUUAAUUAAUUAAGAAAAUAUAUGAAAACAGGAAAUUCCUUAGAAGAUAAACAAAGUUCUUAAUUAUAUAUAGGAAAAAUAAAUAAACAAAUAAUUGCAUUAUGAGGUAUGAUGUAGAGAACAAUAAUGAUUUAUAUAAAAUAGAAUGAGGAAUAGAAUGAACUUUUAGUGUGCCAAACUUUAUUAUUAUUAUUUUUAUGAUGGUAAUAAACAAGAAAGAAAAAGUUAUACUAUAGAUAAAUUGAUUAAAAAAAAAUAUCAUGUGAUGUGAUGAUAGAUGAUUUUUAAAAUAUGAGGUAUCAACCUAAUUGAGAUGUUAAGUUUCAUAGUUAUGUCUAACAUGAUUGUUUUUUAUAAAAAAAAUCAAUGAUUUAAAUUUGGAUAAAAUGAAGUAUUCUUAUAAGGUUGAAUUUUCUUUAUCAAGUUAUCUGUUUAGGGUUUGAUCUCAAGUGAUUCAUUCCGAUCUCUCGAUUCCUCGAUUAAUUGGGAGUACCUACAAAGACAUUAUGAUGCUCAAGUUAGCAAGAUUACAUGUGUUAUAGUUGAAACAAUCAUUACCUUCUACUACUACAAGAAAAAUCCAUUUUAGCUACCAACAAAAAGUGAGGGUUAUAAAAACGAAGUCACUAGCAUAGGUGAAGUCUACUCAAGUUGAACACAAAAAUAAAUGUUAAAUAUUGUGUGCACAAUAGAGACCUUUAACUCACACUAAAAAUUAUUAAAAUAAUAAUAAUAAGUUAGCGUAUAUAAUGAAGACAAAAAGUAAAUGCAAGUUAAUAUUUUAUUACAUUUAGCAUAAGUCUAGGCGACACUAAGAUGACAUGGACGUUUAUUGUCACUUUUAGCCCACACUAAGUUAAUUAUUGUUGGAGAUCUUACAUAAACUAAACAUUAAGACAUUUCAUAGUAUAUAAAUGAGUGCAAACCUCACCUUAUAAGCCGAUUUUAUGAAGUUUAGUUAGGCUUAAAGUCCACUUCUUAAUAUGGUAUCAGAGUCCUUUCGAGCCUAUCUUAGUUUUGUUGGUUUUAUCAGGCGAUCCGCUAUCAGGUCGUUAUCAAACCACCCAUAUUAUAGUCACACUAGAAAUUAAGACAUUUCAUAGUAUAUAAGUAAGUGCAAACCUCACUGGUUUUAUGAGGUUAAAGUUAGACUUAAAGUUCACUUCUUAAUAAUUAUUUAAUUUUAUAUCCAUUUUAGUGUCUUCCAACUUUACACUAUAGUUAAAUAAUAUAUUUUUCUUUAGGUAAACUUAGUCAACACUACCUUGUAAAUUUGUGCCCCCUGAAGACUGUCUCUAAUGCACCAAAAGAUUAGUUUCCAUUUCUAUUGGAACACUAAGCCCACACUAACUUCAUAUAGCGUAUCUCUUUUAUUUUUUGCAUCGCUUUUUUUGAAAACUCUACCAUCAUUAUUUCUUUUAGUGUAUCUUCGAAGCAUUAACCUAAUUAUAAUUUUCCUAUCGAACUUUUUCUUGUCAGAAGAAUUAUCUCAAAUUCAUAAAAGUCUAAUGCUUCCUUAACUUUACUUAAAGAGUGAUUAAUCAUUUAAUUAUAAUUAAUCUUAAUUUGUUUUAUCUUGUAGGGAAGCAAUCCUUAAUGUAUUUGACCCAGUUCUAUUGAGUCAUAUAUGAGCAGUGCGCCGAAUGUUGGGCAGUACAUGAAAUUAAAAAAAUAAUUGUAAAUAAAAGAAAAACUAACACAAUUAAUUUUUUAAAAAGGUUACAGAAUAAAAGAUUUAAUAUUUUUAUUUUUUUUGUAUUCUGGCUCAGUUUAAGAAUUUGGCAUGUUAUGUUAUGAAGCUCUGUAGUCGUGGCCGGUGGUGCAACCGCACUGGUUAUCUGAGAAUCAUAGUUACCAUUCCAAAAGGUUCCCAAUUCUAAAAUUUUGCGACAUUUAUGAGAGACAAGCCUCGUGCAGCUGAAAUAUAAGAAAACAGUGAAAACCUAAAGCUAAAAUAAAAACCCUAAUCGUUACCUGUGCCCUAAUUUAUUCCAAAACCCCUCUCUGUCAUGUGACAUACAAUUUUCUUUUGCUCCACUCCCAAAACAAACCCACCUCCUUCUCCUCGGUAACCAAAUCACUCUACCCUUUCUUAAUUCAAUCUUCAAAACACUAAUCACUCACACUUACAAACAAAAAGUAAAACUUACAAAAUUUACACUACCAAUUUCACCCCUCCCACGUAGGAAUUCCUCUAUAACUACGCUACCUUACCCUCCAUGUCUUUUAAAUAACAAGUGUUACUUGCUUAAAACCAAGACCACGUUUAAUGAUGCUUGGUUUAUGCAAAGAAAAAGACAUUGAAGUUGUUUUGCCUACUCUACUCUUUUAACCUUUCACAAUCUCCUAAGUUCCCUCACUCAUCAAAGUGCUCUUUCUGUUCCCAAGAAGCCAAUCUUACUGUGUGUGCCAUGCCAACGCCAUGGACACAUUUGCACAUAAACACACAGCUCUGAAUCUCUUGCAUUGUCCCAAUCCGAGCCCUUACCAGCAGGAUUGAGAUAGAGGGAACUUAUCCACAAUCCCUAAUUUUGUCACAUUGAUGUAAUGCAAGUACUGUUUUGCAUUUCAUAUAAAACCUUGAUAAAUUCAUGCAGGUCUACAUAGGGGCCUUUUGUCCUUUUAGGCAUCACUUCUUUACUCCAAGGUUGCUCUCAUAGUCACAAGCCUCACAGUUUUUCACUCUAAUUUUUUUAAUGUACUGAAAAACCUUUUGUACAUUCAAUUUUAAGUCACAAACCUCUCUGCUUAAAUUCAUUAUCAUUAACGAAUACAGAUUCAAUUUUAAGUCAUGUGAAUAGAGAUGAAUUUAAUUGGAACAUUGACACUGUUGAAAGUGUAUCCAAAUUACAUUUAAUAGAUAUUUGGCAUGCAAUUUUAUGAAUUAAAUUACUGAAAUUUACAGGUUGUGUAGUUACAGGAUUCAUCAAUGUUGUGAGAAUUUUGGUCUGUUUAAUAAGUCAGUCACUACAGCAGGUUCAAGAACAAACAGGGAAGCCCCACUCCUCCCUAAAUAGUAAGAUAAUGAAAGGGCGAGGGAGUGUCAGUGAGUGAUAGGAGAACAAUUUGAUUUUUUGUAAACUGUCAAUGUCCCAAUUCACAAACUACAUAUUCAUAUUCUACAUAAUGGAGGGCUAAUUUGGUACAUGUACACAACAAUGAAUACAGCCAAAACAAUGAAAUUAAAACUACACUAACUACUAUUUAAAUGUAAAAGAUAUAUUGAAAGGGGAGGUUUUCAAAGUGCAUUGAACUCAAAAAAGCUCAGCCACCGCACUACACCGCUGAGGUAUUCUCCUUUGUUAUUAUUACCUGUAAGCAGUCACGCGAAUCAUGGAAACCAAGAACGGUGGAUGCACCACAAGUGCCAGAACUUAGAUGGCCAUGCCACCAUUCCCACACCAUUUGCAUAGCAUCAGAAAUGCUGGAACCGCAGCAUAGUAAACAAUAAGCAUCAUCAGAAGCCUAGCUUUGAUUCUACCAUUUGGUAGUAGUGAGAGCAGAGCCACUUUUUGGGGUAAGAGGGAAAUAGAUUGCUUUCUUCACUGUCUAUCUUAGCUAUACAAUCUUCCUAAAGAUAAUGAUGCAGUCUCUUUUGUUUCACAUGCUAGUAUUGAAAAUGUUAGUGUGAAACUUAAGCAAUAGAGACCCUCUUUCACAUGCACUUGGUCUCCUAGAGUGGACUUUUUUUCAGCUUCAGCUUCACCAAUCACCAUUAUUCAACAGCUGGAAGACUGACGUGGUGACCCUAUAACCCACACUCCAUUAGACCAAGUUCUUAAUCUCCAAAACCAAGCCAUUUUCGCAGUCCAAAUGGAAAACAUUGUUUCCCGGAGUGUUACCACUUUGUUAUUUUCCAUGAUAUUUUUCUGCCUCACCCUGACAAAGAUAAGAGUCACUUGUCUCUCACCAGAUGGACAAGCCCUUCUUUCUCUUCUUCCUGCAGCAGGUCCUGCUGCAAAAUCAUCACCUGUUCUCUCCUCAUGGAAGCCAUCAAGCUCAACACCAUGUUCAUGGAAAGGUAUCACUUGCUCCCCUCAAGGUAGAGUAAUCUCCCUCUCUAUUCCAGAUACUUUUCUCAACCUCUCCUCUUUACCUCCUCAGCUAUCCUCUUUAUCAAUGCUGCAACUUCUCAAUCUCUCUUCCACCAAUGUCUCUGGCUCCAUUCCACCCUCUUUUGGUCAACUUUCCCAUCUUCAGCUACUUGACCUCUCCUCAAACUCUCUCACUGGACCCAUACCUGCUGAACUUGGAAGCCUCUCUUUACUUCAAUUCCUUUUCUUGAACUCCAACAGACUGACAGGAAGCAUUCCUCAACAUCUUUCUAAUCUUACUUUACUUGAAGUUCUCUGCCUCCAAGACAAUCUUCUCAACGGCUCAAUCCCAUCACAGUUAGGCUCUUUGACAUCUCUGCAGCAGUUUCGGAUAGGGGGCAAUCCAUAUCUCACUGGACAAAUCCCUUCACAUUUAGGCCUACUUACCAACCUCACCACUUUUGGUGCAGCUGCCACGGGACUUUCCGGUGCCAUUCCAUCUACAUUUGGCAACUUGAUCAAUCUACAGACUCUAGCACUUUAUGAUACUGAAAUUUCUGGUUCAAUGCCACCAGAACUUGGGUUGUGUUCUGAGCUGAGAAAUCUGUAUCUGCACAUGAAUAAGCUCACCGGCUCUAUCCCUCCACAAUUGAGCAAGUUGCAAAAACUCACUAGCUUGCUACUUUGGGGCAAUGCCUUAACUGGUCCAAUCCCAGCAGAGCUUUCCAACUGUUCAUCACUUGUUAUAUUUGAUGUCUCUUCUAAUGACCUCUCUGGUGAAAUACCGGGGGACUUUGGGAAGCUCGUGGUUCUGGAGCAGCUUCAUCUAUCAGAUAAUUCACUCACAGGUAAAAUACCAUGGCAGUUGAGCAACUGUACCAGCCUUUCCACUGUUCAGCUGGACAAGAAUCAGUUAUCAGGUACUAUUCCCUGGGAGUUAGGCAAAUUAACGGUUCUACAGAGCUUUUUCUUAUGGGGUAAUCUAGUGUCUGGAACUAUACCAUCAUCUUUUGGAAACUGCUCAGAACUCUAUGCACUUGAUCUUUCAAGGAAUAACCUAACAGGUUCUUUACCAGAAGAGAUUUUCGGCUUGAAGAAGCUGAGUAAGCUUCUGCUUCUGGGAAAUUCAUUAACAGGAAGAUUGCCACCAAGUGUUGCAAAUUGCCAGUCUUUGGUGAGGUUGAGGGUUGGAGAGAACCAGCUUUCAGGCCAGAUUCCUAAAGAGAUAGGUCAAUUGCAGAAUUUGGUGUUUCUUGACCUGUACAUGAAUCAUUUCUCUGGAAGCAUACCAGUGGAGGUUGCUAAUAUUACAGUUCUUGAGCUGUUAGAUGUGCACAACAACUACCUCACUGGGGAAAUUCCAUCUGUGAUUGGGGAGCUUGAAAAUUUGGAGCAGCUUGAUCUCAGUAGAAACAGUUUGACGGGAAAAAUUCCUUGGAGCUUCGGAAACUUCAGCUAUUUAAACAAGCUCAUCCUCAAUAAUAACUUACUGACAGGAUCAAUCCCAAAAUCCAUUAGAAAUUUGCAGAAGUUAACUCUUCUGGAUUUGAGUUACAACAGUCUCUCUGGUGGCAUACCCCCUGAGAUUGGUCAUGUUACAAGCUUAACCAUCAGUUUGGACUUGAGCUCCAAUUCAUUUACAGGAGAAAUCCCAGAAUCAGUGUCUGCUUUGACACAGUUACAAUCACUUGAUCUUUCUCAUAACAUGCUUUAUGGAGAAAUCAAGGUUCUGGGGUCUCUGACUAGCCUCACCUCUCUCAAUAUCUCCUACAACAACUUCUCAGGUCCUAUCCCAGUAACUCCAUUCUUCAGAACUCUAUCCUUCAAUUCAUAUAUUCAGAACCCUGAGCUUUGUCAGUCCAUUGAUGGGGCUACCUGUUCUUCUAGUCUGAUUCGAAAAAAUGGUCUACAAUCUGCAAAAACCAUUGCUAUGAUCACAGUCAUUCUAGCCUCUGUUACUAUAAUUCUAAUUGCAUCCUGGAUUCUAGUGACUCGUAAUCAUGUAUACAAGGUUGAAAAAACAUUGGGAGCAUCAACUUCCGCAUCAGGAGCUGAGGAUUUCUCUUAUCCUUGGACUUUCAUCCCAUUUCAGAAAGUAAACUUCAGCAUCGAUAAUAUCUUGGAUUGCUUGAAGGAUGAAAAUGUGAUUGGAAAGGGCUGCUCAGGUGUUGUGUACAAGGCAGAGAUGCCAAAUGGGGAGUUGAUUGCCGUAAAGAAGCUUUGGAAAGCAAGCAAAGCAGAUGAAAUACUGGAUUCUUUUGCUGCAGAGAUACAGAUUCUUGGAUACAUUCGGCAUAGGAACAUAGUGAGGCUCAUAGGUUAUUGUUCUAACAGGAGUGUUAAUCUUCUUCUUUAUAAGUACAUCCCAAAUGGAAAUCUGCGACAACUUUUACAAGGGAACAGGAACUUAGACUGGGAAACAAGAUACAAGAUUGCAGUUGGAUCAGCUCAAGGUUUAGCUUACCUUCAUCAUGAUUGCGUCCCUACAAUUCUCCAUAGAGAUGUCAAGUGCAAUAACAUACUUCUAGACUCCAAAUUUGAGGCAUAUCUGGCAGAUUUUGGUCUUGCAAAGCUAAUGCAUUCGCCAAAUUAUCAUCAUGCAAUGUCCAGAGUUGCCGGUUCCUACGGUUAUAUUGCCCCAGGCAAGUCCGCUUAGCUUUCUUUACUUUUUUUGAACCUUUCUUACAUCCUUUACAUAAUUGACAAAAUCAAUGCCCUUAAUUUGUUAUUUAGUGCUAUUGGUUUAAUGUACAAACAAUGUGCAUACAUUGAGGAGAUCCAUAGUACAAACAAUGUGCACACAUUCAAUUCAAGCCCAGGAAUUAGUGGAGAUCCAUAUUUGGUCAUUCAGUACUAUUGGUUUAAAACUAACCAUGUUUUAUCGCUAACGCAGAAUAUGGCUACUCCAUGAACAUAACAGAGAAGAGUGAUGUCUAUAGUUAUGGGGUGGUUUUGCUAGAGAUACUAAGUGGUCGCAGUGCUGUUGAAUCUCAUGUUGGAGAUGGCCAACACAUAGUGGAAUGGGUGAAGAGGAAGAUGGGAAGCUUUGAACCGGCUGUAUCAAUACUAGACACAAAGCUGCAAGGUCUACCAGAUCAAAUGGUGCAAGAGAUGCUUCAAACACUUGGAAUUGCUAUGUUUUGUGUGAACUCUUCCCCAUCGGAGCGCCCCACAAUGAAAGAAGUGGUUGCACUACUAAUGGAAGUGAAGAGCCAACCUGAGGAGAUGGGCAAGACCUCUCAACCUCUAAUAAAACAGUCCUUAAAUCAAAGUUGAUUCCACCCCUUUAUUUUUUCUUUAUUUCUUUUACUUCUAAACUCCAAUGGUUAGUGAUUGAUUUUCAUCUCUUCCAAGAUGAAAACAAGGAUGCUGCUAACGUGGAAAUUUGAGAGUAGGGAGCUAGAGAGGAACUAAUGUUUCGCUGAAACGGCUACUGUUGUACAGUUUUAGAAAUACAGAUGUCAGUUAUCCACAUCAUGUGAUUGUGAAGCAGUAAUAUUUGUGUUUCGACACCAUUUACUACUGAAUAAUUAUGAUUUACAUGCCAUCUUUUCAAGUUUCUUAUCCAUGUUAUUAUGAUUUGCUGAAGCCUGUAUAGUUGGCUGCGUGGACUUCACAUGGUACAGAAAAUUUGUCACUUAUGCUUGUUGAAUGGUACCAGUUUAUCUGCUUGAAAUUCUGCUGAUAUUUUCUUCCAUAAAUUGGUUUAAGGUAGGAACCAAAAGUAAUACAUAAAUUUGAGCAAAACACCCUUUCCAAAUUUUGUAAUUCACUUUAAUGUUUUUCGUUGCAGAACGACAGUAAAAUAUAACUAAAAUGAAUGAAUUUUUUACAAAGUUGAGAAUUAUAGGAGAAAGUUAUAGAGUUAUAAAGCUUCCAAUCUUAAGAAAGUACAAGGUUUUUACUUUUAUUUAAGUGGCGAAUAGCCUCGUUUCCAUUAGGCACUGUUUCAAGUUCUUGUAAACAAAGAAAUCAAGCACUUGGAACUUAACCGAAUUUAUCUGCCUCCACUAUGUGCAUGGUGCAUGUCAGUUCCAACGUUCCAACACCAAAAAAUUAAAUACACACCCAUUUAUUUAUUUUAAAAAAAUAUUUUAGAUCAGAUUCUGAUUCUAUGUAAAUAAUUUCUUUGGCGACAUUAGUUUUCACAUCAACAAAAGGGUACAAGAGACGAGAGAGAGCCGAAAGGUGUGAGGUGACCUGAUAGGAAAACUCGGAACCUUAUGGCCCAUUAGCCUGGAAGUUUCCUUGAACAAUAAUAGUGGCUAUAGACAAAGCGCAUGCUUUUCUGCAGAGAAAAUUAAUGCUUCAAUCAUGAAAGAACUGAUUUUUUAAAGUUUACACAUCAUGCCAUCGCAUUUGUUGAAUUUCAUUCAAUUAUUGCUCAAUGUUGAAAGAAGUACUUCUUGUUUAAAUUAAAUUUAGAGAAAGCUGAGAUCAGACAGUUUAUAUAUAAAAAAAAUGUAAGAUUUAAUGUUAGUAACCGAUCCAAGAUGACCCAAAUGACAAGUUUAUAGUGAUUUAUUUUCUUUAAUGAAGUACUUUUCCAAUGGUGAACAAGUGAUAGCUGUAAAGAUUUCGAUGCUCAUAUUAGAAGUGAUUUUAACAAAAGAACAUUAUCAUGAAUGUAAGUGGAGUCUUGAUAUUUAUCAUGGACGAGACCCAAAGGCCUUCAAUGGCUUGAGACAUCUUGGAGUUGGAAUGGUUAUCAUAUCAUCAAGUAGGGAGUAGAAUAAUAGAAGCCUUAUUUUUUACUUUGGAGAAUCAUACUUUUAGGAUUAGGCCUUACUCUGAAACAGUAACAUAUUUUGUUUAUCAUAAAUUCUAACCAGAACUUGUUCAUUAAUUUUUCAGUUAAUAUUUGUAGAACAUGCAUGCACCAUUGAAUUUUAAGAAUGUCACAGGCUUACAUUACAGAGGCAGGAGCCAUAUGGGGAGGCUUAGGUGUGGGGGCCAAGAUAGCAGCGUGUAAGGAGACAAAAGGAAACAAAGUCUUNNNNNNNNNNNNNNNNNNNNNNNNNNNNNNNNNNNNNNNNNNNNNNNNNNNNNNNNNNNNNNNNNNNNNNNNNNNNNNNNNNNNNNNNNNNNNNNNNNNNNNNNNNNNNNNNNNNNNNNNNNNNNNNNNNNNNNNNNNNNNNNNNNNNNNNNNNNNNNNNNNNNNNNNNNNNNNNNNNNNNNNNNNNNNNNNNNNNNNNNNNNNNNNNNNNNNNNNNNNNNNNNNNNNNNNNNNNNNNNNNNNNNNNNNNNNNNNNNNNNNNNNNNNNNNNNNNNNNNNNNNNNNNNNNNNNNNNNNNNNNNNNNNNNNNNNNNNNNNNNNNNNNNNNNNNNNNNNNNNNNNNNNNNNNNNNNNNNNNNNNNNNNNNNNNNNNNNNNNNNNNNNNNNNNNNNNNNNNNNNNNNNNNNNNNNNNNNNNNNNNNNNNNNNNNNNNNNNNNNNNNNNNNNNNNNNNNNNNNNNNNNNNNNNNNNNNNNNNNNNNNNNNNNNNNNNNNNNNNNNNNNNNNNNNNNNNNNNNNNNNNNNNNNNNNNNNNNNNNNNNNNNNNNNNNNNNNNNNNNNNNNNNNNNNNNNNNNNNNNNNNNNNNNNNNNNNNNNNNNNNNNNNNNNNNNNNNNNNNNNNNNNNNNNNNNNNNNNNNNNNNNNNNNNNNNNNNNNNNNNNNNNNNNNNNNNNNNNNNNNNNNNNNNNNNNNNNNNNNNNNNNNNNNNNNNNNNNNNNNNNNNNNNNNNNNNNNNNNNNNNNNNNNNNNNNNNNNNNNNNNNNNNNNNNNNNNNNNNNNNNNNNNNNNNNNNNNNNNNNNNNNNNNNNNNNNNNNNNNNNNNNNNNNNNNNNNNNNNNNNNNNNNNNNNNNNNNNNNNNNNNNNNNNNNNNNNNNNNNNNNNNNNNNNNNNNNNNNNNNNNNNNNNNNNNNNNNNNNNNNNNNNNNNNNNNNNNNNNNNNNNNNNNNNNNNNNNNNNNNNNNNNNNNNNNNNNNNNNNNNNNNNNNNNNNNNNNNNNNNNNNNNNNNNNNNNNNNNNNNNNNNNNNNNNNNNNNNNNNNNNNNNNNNNNNNNNNNNNNNNNNNNNNNNNNNNNNNNNNNNNNNNNNNNNNNNNNNNNNNNNNNNNNNNNNNNNNNNNNNNNNNNNNNNNNNNNNNNNNNNNNNNNNNNNNNNNNNNNNNNNNNNNNNNNNNNNNNNNNNNNNNNNNNNNNNNNNNNNNNNNNNNNNNNNNNNNNNNNNNNNNNNNNNNNNNNNNNNNNNNNNNNNNNNNNNNNNNNNNNNNNNNNNNNNNNNNNNNNNNNNNNNNNNNNNNNNNNNNNNNNNNNNNNNNNNNNNNNNNNNNNNNNNNNNNNNNNNNNNNNNNNNNNNNNNNNNNNNNNNNNNNNNNNNNNNNNNNNNNNNNNNNNNNNNNNNNNNNNNNNNNNNNNNNNNNNNNNNNNNNNNNNNNNNNNNNNNNNNNNNNNNNNNNNNNNNNNNNNNNNNNNNNNNNNNNNNNNNNNNNNNNNNNNNNNNNNNNNNNNNNNNNNNNNNNNNNNNNNNNNNNNNNNNNNNNNNNNNNNNNNNNNNNNNNNNNNNNNNNNNNNNNNNNNNNNNNNNNNNNNNNNNNNNNNNNNNNNNNNNNNNNNNNNNNNNNNNNNNNNNNNNNNNNNNNNNNNNNNNNNNNNNNNNNNNNNNNNNNNNNNNNNNNNNNNNNNNNNNNNNNNNNNNNNNNNNNNNNNNNNNNNNNNNNNNNNNNNNNNNNNNNNNNNNNNNNNNNNNNNNNNNNNNNNNNNNNNNNNNNNNNNNNNNNNNNNNNNNNNNNNNNNNNNNNNNNNNNNNNNNNNNNNNNNNNNNNNNNNNNNNNNNNNNNNNNNNNNNNNNNNNNNNNNNNNNNNNNNNNNNNNNNNNNNNNNNNNNNNNNNNNNNNNNNNNNNNNNNNNNNNNNNNNNNNNNNNNNNNNNNNNNNNNNNNNNNNNNNNNNNNNNNNNNNNNNNNNNNNNNNNNNNNNNNNNNNNNNNNNNNNNNNNNNNNNNNNNNNNNNNNNNNNNNNNNNNNNNNNNNNNNNNNNNNNNNNNNNNNNNNNNNNNNNNNNNNNNNNNNNNNNNNNNNNNNNNNNNNNNNNNNNNNNNNNNNNNNNNNNNNNNNNNNNNNNNNNNNNNNNNNNNNNNNNNNNNNNNNNNNNNNNNNNNNNNNNNNNNNNNNNNNNNNNNNNNNNNNNNNNNNNNNNNNNNNNNNNNNNNNNNNNNNNNNNNNNNNNNNNNNNNNNNNNNNNNNNNNNNNNNNNNNNNNNNNNNNNNNNNNNNNNNNNNNNNNNNNNNNNNNNNNNNNNNNNNNNNNNNNNNNNNNNNNNNNNNNNNNNNNNNNNNNNNNNNNNNNNNNNNNNNNNNNNNNNNNNNNNNNNNNNNNNNNNNNNNNNNNNNNNNNNNNNNNNNNNNNNUCUGCUAAUAUAUAUAUAUAUAUAUAUAUAUAUAUAUAUAUAUAUAUAUAUAUAUAUAUAUAGGAGUCAAUUCUCUCCUUUUAUUUGCUGAACGGUUAUGUAAUACUUUGAUUGGAUAUUUUUAAAUUCGUGUGAGUUCAUACUUAUGAUUUUCGUACUGAAUAACACUCUUAAAAAAAUGCACCUUUAGAAUCAUCAAUGUACAUCAUCUUGUACUCUGUCACAUCACACAAUUCCAGAAAACAACGAGAUCAACCUUACUGCCAGUCCAAGGCCAGAUUUGUAGACAUUUAAUGACUCACCAUCUGGCACCUUUUACCCAGAGAUAAGGGAGCCAAUGAAUAACUCUGGCUAUAGAAAUUAUAACUAUUCCCAGAGAAUUAUCUUCUUCAUCCUAAUAUUGUUACUCUAUUGGAAUUUCUGCUAACUUAGAGUUUUGAAGGUUCUACGGGGGACAUGGCCUCCAUCCAUCAUGCUCAACAAAGUUGCAGUCUACUAGAGAAACCUACACAUUCGAGCGCGGGCCUGGUAUUCUGAGCCGCCACAGGUUAGAUGAACAUUUUUUGCAUAAAUUUUUCUACAUCGAGAAUUUUCUGGUUUAUUUGAAUCCAAAAACUAGACCUAUAAAAUAGUUAUUUAAAGUGAAUGGAUCACAUGCAACAAAAGGGGCUCCUGUAGAGCAGCUAUUGUGAAAUGGUUCACAUAUAAAUUGAAUACGUAUUUAUUUUUUAAUUUAGACCAUGGGAGACAAUUUUAUUUAAGUUGAUCAUAAAUAUUCAUAACAUCCAAGGAUUAGCUCUCAAGUUUCCCAGCAAAAAAAUCAAUUUACACACUAGGCUCAAACAAAUAAUCGAAGUAAAAAAUAAAUCAAAAAAAUAGUUUUCAGAUUAGGAUAUUAUUUAUUUUCUACAAGGAUUAUGUCUUGCAAUAGAAACAAAGCUAACUCAGAAAGAAGGAAAGGGUAUCGACACUGCAAACAGUGGCAAUGCUACUACUGUGGCGCAAAGUCUUGUCAAGAUCAGUAUCUCUUACUUCUAACAUGACUUACUAAACAUCUUGCUUUCUUCGCAUUAUUAGCCAUCAAACACAUCAAAUUACGCCAAAGAAAAAGUUGACAACCACCAAUUAUCCAUAAUUUAAGUCAGUUGAAUUAGCAUUGCCAUAAUCAACCGAAAUCAGAUACAAGAACUCCUUUAGCCAUAAAGCCUAUCUGUAGUAAGCAGCCGUGGUUUAUUCACUUUAUUGCUUUAGGGAAUGGCAACGCAAGUGGGAUUAAGAUUUCAUGCAAGUCACACUUGUCUUUCUUUAUAACCUUAUAAAGGGUGCAGAGAUGUCUGAGUUAAGCUAUGCCUAUAAGAAUAGCACCAGACUAACAACUUCUUCAUAUAAAUACAAUUCGUUCAGACCCACUGUCUGUAUAACUUUAAUAUGGUAAUCAUCACAUUGAAUCAGUUAUGUAGCAACAACCUAAACAGCUACAAGUGGAAGCGUGAAGUGAAGACUUGAGGCUUGAAAAAUGUUUGGCUAUUUAUUAGUAUUAUGCAAUGUGCCACUUUCUAAAAAUGUUAAAAAACUACAUUAAGAUGGUAUAAAAUAUAAAAUGCUGAUAUGUCCUAACUUGAAAGGAGAUUAUCCAAAAUUUUCAUCCCACAGCUAAGCAGAACAACAAGUAUCUAGCAGAGGAUGAGAGAAGUGCAAGCAACAUUAAGAGUUAUUAUCAUUACUAAAAUAAGAUUAUUGAUUGUUACUUUCAGUUUCCUAAUAUCUUAUAAGCACCUCAAUAAACUAGUUUCCUCACACUAUCACAAAAUCCAAUAGUUGGUAUAACAAAACGAACAUCCCUUUAAAUGAAAAGAACAGCAAUAGUCAGUCCUCCCAAAUAAGUCAUAAAGAGCUGGUUUGGCUUCCAAUUUAAUAUUCAAAACUAGAGCCAAUGAAACACCUUAAAAAUAUUCAACCAGCCAUACAGUGUUAAAAAAAUGUUGAGCACAAGUCACAACCAUCAAAUACCAAAACCUCUUACUCAUCUAAUUGUGCAAUUUCAGCCUUCAAUUGUUCAAUCUUGAGACCCAUAGACCUCUGCAAAGCCCCUCUUUCUUUCUCCGGCAACUUGGCCAACAACCCCUCGAACAAGCCCAAAACCUCAUUGACGGCGUCGCGAGCACACUCAGCUUCCUCGUCGAAAUAAACGGUGUCUUUGGACUCCAACGCCAUCUCUAUCUCUUCCCUCGCCUCUGCAAACUUAAGGUUGAUGGUGUCCACCUCCUUGGUGUGGUCCAACUCGCCCGACCCACCACUGAAACUCCUUGGAUUGUGCCGAAUCGGGUAGUGGGUGGUCGGGAUGGAGGAAAAAGAGUGGAACUUUGAGGUGGAGGCAAGGUGGGUGGAUGAAGUGAAGGGAGCAAUUGGGGAUUGGCGAAAAGGGUGUCGGGUUCUGAAGAACGCGUAGAAGAGGGAAAGCCUCGUGCGGCCAUUCAUUUUGCUUUUGGUGACAACAAAAGUUGCGGUUGCAGCUGCGGCGGCGACAAAGAGAGACAGGGUGGCGCUUAAACCUCAAAGUGGAAGAAUAAGCAACAGAGUCUGAAAUGGAACUUCAACUUACAUUCAUAGCUUCGCAAAAAUUCCAAUACGAUUCUGCCAGAGAUCAAGGAUCCCUAGCUCCUUUACAACAUUAAAUUAAAAUAAUUAUCUUUAUAUGUAAUUUCAGCCUUUUUUUACUUUUACUUUUUUCAAAUGAUUUUUUUCGUCAAUUAUGAUUAUUUUAUUCUAUGUAACAAACAUUUAUUAAAUAUACAUAUAUAUUAUUGAAAUUUUAAUAUUUAAUAUUUUUUAUUUAAUGAAAAUAAUUCUCAGUUAAUUAAGACUAGAUUGAUGAAUCUUUUAAUUUUAUACUUUAAUUAUUAAACUAGUUAAAAUUUUAAAAAAUUAAUAUAAUGAAUAAGUUGUGUAAUUUAACACGUUUUCAAUAUAUUUGAAUUAAUAUAACUUAAUAUAAUCAGAUUUUAAUUAAAUUUAUAAUUUUAGUAAUAUUAUAUAUUAUUUAAUGUUUUUAAUUAUAAUUUUUUUAAUUCGAAUUCGGUGUAAAUUCAAUUACUAAGUCUUAAAUGAGUAUAUUGUUGGGUUCAUUGAUAAGUUUGGGUUUAAUUAAAUUGAAAUAUUAAUACAAAAGUGGGAUGAUUAUUAUAUGGUAUGUUAGUUAGCUAAACAAUAUUGAUAUUGUCACUUUUAUUUCACUAUACUUUCCAAUUUUUUCUCUCUAGCAAGUCUCUACUAUGAGUUACUUAAUUUUAUUUAGGUUUUUUGUUAAUCAAAUAACUUAAAUAAAUUUAGUUGAUUUUUUCUUAAUUGAUUAUAUAAUAAUAAUGUAAUUAUUAUUUAAUAUACUUCAUUAUAUAUUUUUAAACAUUCCAUAAUAUAAUUUACUUUUUAAAAUAUUUUAAAUUAAUUUUUUUUUUAAAACUUAAUAUACCGAGUAAAUUAAGUUAAAUUGUAUUUAAUAAAAAAUGAAAAAAAUUUAUGUUGUGUUUCUAUCGUUUAAGAGUCUGAGAUCAAAACAAAAUACAUUUCCAUAACUCAAAUGUCUUUUUAGAAACAAUCGUAACAAAAUUAAUUUCUCGUUUCAAAACCAACAAUAACUCAAUAACAAAUUUAUAAUAAAUUUAAGCAAAUUUUGAAUGCAAAAUUUUAAAGGAUAAUUUAUUUUAUAGAAGAAUUAAAAAUAUUUUAUAAAAAAUGUAUAAUUUGAAUAUAUAAUUUAAAAAUAAAUAAAAAUUUAAUUUGUUUAAAACAAUUUAAUUACUUAAAAAUUUAAAAAUAAAUAAAUUUCAUUUUAGAAGCAAAAAUUUAAAAUUCUUUACAUUCUCUUGUAUUUCAAAUAUAUAUUACUUAUGAUCUUCAUAUAUUCUUAUUCCAAAUUUAUCUCUAUCAAAAUAUUGUAAACUUCGCUUUGAAAUUUAUAUUACAUAUAUCGUUUUUUCAAUUGAUUUGACAUGAGUUUUUUUUUUAAUUAAAAUGAAUCAUAAUAAUUUUUUAAUUACCAUCGUUAUUAUUUUGCAAACAUAAACCAAGUAAUGUUAUUUCUCUACCGUGUUUUUAUAACAUCAAUACUGUUUUUUAUGAAUGUGAAACCCAAAUUUUUCUGUCAAUAUUAAGAAAUUUUAUUUCCAAUUAUUGUUGUUUUUCACUAAUGUCAAUAAUUAAUAAGAGUGCUGAUAAAAAAAUAGUUAAUAAGAGUUUUUUUUUACUAAUAUCAACAAAAAUUACUUUUUUAGCAUGUCAGAUCAACGUGAAUGAAAUUAUUAUUAUUUAUUUGAUAUGAGUUAAAAGUAUUCAGAGUGAUAUAUCAGCUAACAGAAAACAGGCAUUGCAUAAACAAUUGUAUUUAUAGUUUAGUAUUCGUUUAUUCAAUUCAGUAGAGAUAAUUUAAAUAUCUGAAUUAAUUACAAUUGAUUUAUUCAAAUUUUAACCAGAACUAAUCGAUUAACCAAACUAACAUGAAAUUUAAUUAGUUUUAUUUAAAUUAUACAUUUAUUAGAUCAAUCCAAUCUCGUUCUCAAUCCAACUAAACACAAUUGAGGAACUAAAUUAGUAAUUUACAGGUGAAUUGCAGUAAAAGAAUUAUUUUUUGUUGAAAGAAGAUUUUAUAUUAAUUCAGUCUAGGGUUUUGUAAAAGGUAUAAAAAUAUAUCACAUGCUUUGUGAUAUUUCAUUUUGUAAUUUUUUUUAAGGUGGAACUUUCAUUUGAAAUUCUUGAGCAGUUUCUUCUUGCAAAAAGGGUUGAGAACUCUGGUUCAAGCUGAUGACACAAUCUUCACAGGUUGAUAUCUCGGAUUGGACUUUCGGCUUCUCCUCUCUCGAUUGGGUUCUCCAGAUUGAGUUUUCGACUUCUCCUCUCACAGUUGAGUGUGUACCUGGAAGGCGCUCUGAUGCCAAAAUCAGAAAUAAUUUAUGCAUUCAUCAGAUAAAAUUCAUUCUUACUUACCUUUUGAUCCUCUAUUUAUAAGACUUUCUUAUUGGACUUAUACCUUAUUUAAGCAUUUCUUUCUGCACCACUUAUUAUUUUAAACCCACCCAUUAAUUUGAACUUUAUUAAUUUGGGCUUCACUAUAGUGAUUAUAUAUAUUUAUUUGAUCCUUUAUAUAUAUUUUUCGGCAUAACUCUCGGUAUAUUCUUUCGGUUAUACCUCUCCGUCCUAUUAGUUUAUAAAAAAGUUAAUAAUAAGAAAGAUACAAAGUUUUGAAUAAUUUUGUUAGAUGAAUUUUGCCGUAAAUUUUAACAAAAUAGAUGACUAAUUUAAUUUUAUAUAAAGGAGAAAAGAUAUAUUUUAAUCAUAACCAAACACUUCAACGGGUAGACAAUCCUUCCGAUUGUACUUCUAUUCUAUGAGAUCUGGUUGGAACAACACUACUACUGUAUGUCUGUGAUCUCCAAGACAAAGGAUGGGAGAUUUGAGAAAACUAGAUAAAGUUUUCUCCGCAGUUCACUGCUACUGAUGUUGUUAUUUAGUUAUUUUGCGUAAUUAGUAAUGAAAUCAACGUUUUCCAUUUUUAAAUUGUUCACAAGUUAAUUUGAAAAGGACUAAAAUUUUAUCACCGAUUUAUCUUUUCCUAUUCAAAAUGUUAGAAGACUAGCAGUUGGAAAGAGAAAGAAAAACUGAAUGUGAUGCUUUAUUUGUAAUUUAAUAAUAUUCUUAUUGCAAACACUACAUGGUAGAAUACGGAAAUGCCGCAUAAAUGAAAACCAAUCAUACAUAUGGCCAAUUAAUCUAUGAACAAAUAAAUUAAAAGUGUACUAUACUUUCCACUUUCACUUGUCAUUUACAUUUCAAAUCUCUUGUUCUUAUCUGCUUGAACACAAUAAGAUCGGGAGGUGCAAGACCACCAUCAAACAAAUAGAAUCACUCGGGUCUGAAUCACGAGUAUUGAAGUGCAUAUACACCUUCAGACUUUUAUUCAAAAAAGAAGAUAGAUCACUUGGCUCUAAUGGAGAUUGUCUUUAUUCCUCAAUGAAAACAAGAAUCUGUAAGAAAUUAAACAACAAAUUUUAUUACUAAAAUUAUACAUGUACAUAAUGGAUUUAUUUCUAGAAUGUAAGGAAGUAAGGAUCGUAGCUUACAUGAUUUAUCAGGAGUGGUGCUUCCCCAUUCGGAGCUUAUUUGUAGAUAGGUGGAGGUGGGGAAGCAUAAAUGUAAACUGGAGGUGGCGGUGAUUUUACUGGUGGAGGAGGUGAUUUGUAAAUGUAUUUGGGAGCGGGAGCUGGGGAGGGAGGAGGUGGUGAUGUGUAAUGGUAUGGUGGAGGAGGAGAUGGAGAAGGUGGUGGGGGACUCACGUAAUGGUAAGGAGGAGGAGGGUGCGACGUUGGUGGUGGAGGGGAUUUGUAAUAGUAGGGAGGAAGAAGAGUGGGAGAUGGUGGAGGAGGGCUUUUAUAGUAAUAAGGAGGUGGUGGUGAUGGGGAAGGUGGGGGAGGGGAUUUGUAAUAGUAAGGAGGUGGCGGUGAUGGGGAUGGUGGGGGAGGGGAUUUGUAAUAGUAAGGAGGUGGGGGUGAUGGAGAUGGUGGUGGAGGUGAUUUAUAGUAAUAGGGAGGUGGUGGAGAUGGAGAGGGAGGUGGAGGAGAUUUAUAAUAGUAUGGAGGAGGAGGGGAUGGUGAAGGUGGGGGUGGUGAUUUAUAAUAGUAUGGUGGGGGAGGAGAGGGGGAUGGUGGAGGUGGAGAGUUGUAUUUGUAAACGGGAGUUGGAGGAGGAGGUGACUUAUAGUAGUAAGGAGUUGGAGAAGGUUUUUCACAUUCUUUAAAAUGCUUCUUUGAAGCAUAAGCAAAUGGCUUAGCCUUAAGCACAACUUCGUACUUGUCCUUAGAUUUCACCUUCAAGUUGGUUCCUUCAUUCAAUUUAGUAGGUAUGCUGAAGGGUGAGUCUUUAGGUGGAGCAAAAAGCUUGGCCUUGCACACUGUGGCUCCAUACUUGACGUAAUCGAAAUCCUUAACUGUGAUACUAUACUUUCCAUUGCUCUUAGUUUCACCAUAGGCCUUGAUCACUUUCCACCCUGCUUUGCAUUUCACCUCCACAACAGCACCUACAUGCCCCCCAAAAACGAUUCAUUACGAUACAUAAGUUAAAUUAUUCUUGUAAGCAAACGCACUAUAUAUUGGAUAAGAUACUAUGUUAAUUAUCUUUCUCUCAAUUCUUUUCUUUAUCAUAUUGUUGUUUAUUUAUUUCUGUUUAUGUAUAAUUUGUAAGAUAUUAAAGAUGUAAUAAUCAAUAUUCUCAUUUAACUUUAAAAUAACCAAAAAAAAGUGCUCGUAAGAUGUUGGAAAUAUAAAAGUUUUCUUAAUUAGUCUUAACUUUUAGCCAAUAAUAAAAUGAUAUAUCUAAACAAAAAGAUAAUGAAAUGAAUAUGAUGUACCUUUGAGGUGUUUCUUGUUAUGAGACUUCUCGAUGUGGUUCCAGUCAUAGCACUUGUAGCUGUAAACUUUACCUACUACCUUCACAGUCAAUGCGUGGUCGUAAUGAUGUGGGUAGGGGUGUGUGGGAUAUGCAGCUGGUGGAGGAGGAGAGUUAUAAUAGUAUGGAGGUGGUGGAGAGUUGUAGUAGUAAGGAGUGGGUGAAGGGGGAGGAGGAGACUUGUAGUAGUAAGGUGGAUGGGGUAAUGGAGAUGGAGGAGGAGGAGAUUUGUAGUAGUAGGGUGGUGGAGAAGGUGUUGGGGAUGGUGGUGGAGGGGAUUUGUAGUAGUAUGGGGUUGGAGAUGGAGAUUUUUCAGGUGGAGGUGGAGACUUGUAAUAGUAGGGUGGUGGAGGAGAUGGUGAAGGUGGUGGUGGGGAGUUGUAAUAGUAAGGGGGUGGAGGUGAGGGAGAGGGCGGUGGAGGAGACUUGUAAUAGUAGGGAGGUGGGGGUGACGAGGAAGGAGGAGGUGGUGACUUGUAAUAGUAGGGUGGAUCCUUGUGCUCAUAUGGUGGCGGAGGAGAUUUGUAAUAGUAUGGGGGAGGUGGUGAGGGGGAGGGUGGCGGAGGAGAUUUGUAAUAGUAUGGAGGAGGUGGUGAGGGGGAAGGUGGUGGAGGAGAUUUGUAGUAGUAUGGAGGAGGAGGUGAGGGGGAUGGUGGCGGAGGAUGUUUGUAAUAGUAUGGAGGAGGUGGUGAGGGAGAAGGUGGAGGAGGAGAUUUGUAAUAGUAUGGAGGAGGUGGUGAGGGGGAGGGUGGUGGAGGAGACUUGUAAUAGUAUGGAGGAGGAGGUGAGGGGGAGGGUGGUGGAGGAGACUUAUACUGAUAAGGAGGUGGUGGUGAAGGUGAUGGAGGAGGAGGUGAGUUGUACUGAUAAGGAGGUGGAGGUGAUGGUGAAGGUGGAGGUGGUGAGUUGUAUUCAUAAGGAGGAGGUGGUGAUGGAGAAGGGGAUGGUGGUGGUGGUGGAGAAAAGUAAGGGUAAGCAUCAGCAUUAACAGAAACCAGAGUAGUAGAAAUGAAAGCAAUGGCCAAUGCCAUGAUCAUUUGUGGCAAAAGACGACCCCUUGUGGGGUCGUUGCCCUUGGAAGUCAUGUGUAGAAGGAAAAAGCUUUCCACCUCUGCCAAUGCAGCAAAGAUCUUCUUUGAAGUUGAGAGAAGAGAGGGAAGAGGGUUUGGUGUAAAUGAGUGGUGAGAAAAAGCUGCAUGCAUGAAAUAUUUAUAGUGAGAGUGAGUGGUGAAAGAAGAGCUGUCAUGAGAGAAUUCAAAAUGUUCAAUUGCUUUUUAAUUCUAUAAAAGAAGAGUCCCUAGCUGGCCUUCUCAAUUUUUGUAAACUCUUUCUUAUAUGUUUUCCUCCACAUGGCCACAAUCACCAUUCCUUCCUAGUUCCUCUUCUCUUCUCAGUUGCCUAUCUUGACCAAAGGUAACUCCAAAAUGCUCUUUUUUUUUUCUCUUUUUCUUUCAAUCAUUUUGAACUUUUCAGCAGUCAUGAUAUUUUAUGACACUCACAAGCUUUGGAUCAAAUCCUCUUUCGUUAAUGAGUGAAGAUAUUAUUUAGGCUGUUAUUUUUUUUCACCAUAUUUUGAACAUGAGCUCUAUGAUAAAGAAUAUAAUCCAAAUUUGCCUUAUUCUGCUACAGGUCCACGUGUUGCUAUACAAAUAAAACUUAGUCCAAUGUUAUAAAUUAUCAUUCAUUAUGUUAUCUCCAAUAUUACCAAAAAAAUAGUUUAUACAUAAUCAUUCACUUGCACAUAAAUUACUUUGUUUGGUUGAAUAUUUUGUCACGAAGAAGGACAGACACAAAGAAUGAGAAUGAGAAGAGGACAAUUUCAUCACCAGCUUUGGUUCACCUUACUACCUUCUUUCUCUUUCUUCAAGAUUUUUGUGAGCCAUGUGGUUCAUCGAUGAUGAGAUUAACAUGUGAUGUUGUCAAAUUGGCAUGAACUUCAAGUUGCCGCGUAAUUUUUUCAUGAGAAGCGUAUAGUUGGCAACUAUGCAUUCGCCAAUUAUAGAUAAAAUUAAUCUUUGUGAGAGGCAUUGGUUUUAGGAAUUGAUCAAUGUCGCCUUUUAACACUAUUUUUUAACAUCAAUAAUCAAUAAUUGUGACAUAAAUGAAUGAAACGUGCACACUAUUGCUCCCUUAUGAAAUUGCGUUUGGCCCUGUAUGAUAAUAUAAUAUAAUGCAACAACUAAGCAUUUGCCAACUAAAAAUAGCUCUAGUCCCUAGCGGAGGAAAGCACUUAUAUUUGUAUAUGGUAAGUAACCUUUCAAUAUUUUAUCGAUAAAAAAAAACUCUUUCAAUAAGUUUAAUAUAGUUUAUCAUGAAUCGAUGAUAAUAACAAUUUAUAUAAAAAGUUUUUAAGAAUAAAAUCAUGGAUAAUAUUUCGAAUGUAGUGAUUGAUUCUAGUAAUACUAUCUCUACGGAUUAAAUCUCAUUCCCUUAAUUUUCAAAACUAGUGAUGAAAAAAAUGAAAAAAGAACCAUAUAAUCAAAGACAUAUGAUGUGCAUUGUUUUGAAGGAAAAAUUGAUUGUUAGAGAUCUUACAUCGAUUAGAGGUAACGAUAUUUCAUAUAUAGACUUAUAGCUAGGCUUAUAAGGUUGAGUUAUAACAGGUGCAACCAGAUUUUAUGCAUAGUCUACUUCUUAAUAUGUUAACAGAGUCAUUUAGAACCUAUCAUUUCAAGAGUUUGUUGGCUUAUCCGGUCACCCGUUAUUGGACUGCUAGCGGAUCACCCAUAAAAAUAUAAUCUCAUGCAAGAGUUGGAAAGUCUUUGUGUGAAGGAAUAUGUUAAAGAUCUCAGAUCAAUUAAAGAUAAAAACAUUUCAUAAUAUAUAAGUAGGUGCAAACCUCAUCUUAUAUGAACCGACUUUAGUUUGAUUUUAGAAGGUUGAGUUAAACUUAAUAAAGUCUAAUUCUUAGUAACUUUUUUUCACUAUUUCAGCGCAUGGGUUUCUCUAUUUCUAUUUACCGUUCUUAAGUUAACCUGGCACUGAAAUACAUUGUAAUUACAUGCCCCAUUGGUCAAAAAUACAACAUAAUGGGUACAUAUGAACUGUGUCCCAUGUGAAGCAACUAGUGACACUAAAUUUGUAAUAGCCACCCACUCUCAUCCCUCUCUCUCUAAUUGUUUAUGGUUGUCAAUGCCGUGUAGUAGAUUGAGGUGUAAAUAGAACAUCAAAUUCGUGAUGAUUGCUGAAUUUAAGGGAAUACAAAUCACUUUGACUUGAUUAGAAAAAUUUAAAGGUAAAUUGGAUAUUGGUUCCAUAAUGGUAGAAAAGCUAAAAAGAGAGAAGGUUUGUCACAGACAGUCUGGAAAGGGAAUGGAUAAUUAGAUAGAGAAAACAUGACUCUUUGAGUCUCUUUCAAUGCUUAUAAUGUAGUAAUGAUGAGAGUAAAUCAGUAAAAUACUGAAAAUCAAAGCAAAAAAACCUUUCCUUCAAGAGCAUCUAAUUGUAUCACCAACCACUUUUUGUCCUAAGUUUUAGGUGGGGGGGCAGGUUGUUACAAUUCUUCAGAAUGAAGUUAUCUUCAUAUAAUUAAUUUCAGGUUGUUACAAAAUUUUCCCUUUUCAUUUUGUUCUUUUCCUGGGUAUGGGAUCAGAAAUACAGACUUUGCUUUUAAGCUUUUGUUAUAGCAAAAUGGUUUAUGUAUAAUGCCAAAUUGAGUUGUAUAACAAAUGAUUUUGGUACAUUUGCAUAUUUGGUCAAUCUUGUAAACUUCUCUCUUGUUGUAAUAUGCUAGAGUUAAAACUGAGAAGGUGAUGAAAUCUGUGUUUUUCAGAAUAGACAUUGACUUAAUGAAGGAGAAUUAUAAUAUUAAAACCAAAUGCUUAAUAAUUGUUUUGUUUCGUCUUUCAUGGGAAGUAUAUAUAACAUGUGCAACACAAAACUUAAGGGUGAUUAGCUGUAGCAGAAUUCAUCAGACAAUUAAAGUUUUAUUAUAGGAGAUAUUAUGAAGGACAUGGCAGAUGCAUGUUAAUCAGAAAUAGUGGUUGACCAAUGGAGAUUACAGCUAAAAUCUAAAAGUGAGGCAAUGCAAUGUGAUUGGAUCUAAUCUACCAACCAAUCUAAUACAACUAUAUAUAUCAUUCAAUAAACAUAAUUCACCCUAUUCAAUCUAUCAGAUAAUUCACUCUUGUUAGACAUCUUACAAAAGAAAAGACAAAGAUGGAAAAAAAGUUGAGUUGAAGUUCUAACAGAUCAAAGCACUGCAAAAAAAAACAAUAUUUCAUUCUCUAUUCUAAUUAUGUUGUUUCUGAAACCACAUAUUUGCUGAUUAAAAAAAAAAAAACAUAUUUGGUGAUUAUUGUUGUCUUAAUUACUAAACAUGAUAUUCAAUGUUUAAUUUGAAAAAUUUAUCCCUUAAAUUUAUUUAUUUAUGGCUGCACUAUAUAGAACUAUUGGAUUUUAUAUAAUAAAAGAAAAUAAAAAUAAGUGUACUUAAACACUCCUCUUAACUGAUGUGUUUGUGUCCGAUAUUAGACACCGACUUGUACAACACUCAUAGGACACGUAUCGAUGAAGUGUCAAAUUCAAAAAAUAUUUAUUGAAUUUCUAACAAUUUUAGCAUGAUUCUAACAUAAUUUUAAAACGGAGAAAUACAUUAAUUUUCUAAAAAUUCAAACUUAGUAUAAAUUUUAGUAUAAUUAUAAAAAUAAGAAACAAAUCCCUUUCUGUAGGAACUAAUUAAAGAAAAUAAGAUAAGACAACAGGUUGUAGAAACUAAUUGAAGAUAAUUGCACCAGAUUACUGUUGUGCUGAUUCUUAUUUAUUUUGAUUUACUUCAAUAAUAUAUAUAAUAAAAUUACAAUUAUUGGAACCCGCCAUAAAAAACAUUUAUUUACUCAAAAGAAGUUAAAACAUAGUUGUACAGAUAAAUCUUUACUGUAAAUUUAUAUAGUUUAUAUUUAUAUAAUAUAUAGACUUGUGUUCUGGUAUUUUACAUUUUAAAAAUUAUAUGUAUCUCUCCAUAUCCAUAUUGUAUCAAAAUUUUGUAAUAUAUAUAUAUAUAUAUAUAUAUAUAAAUACUUUGAUAAAUAUUCAUUUUUUUUUUUUAUACUUUUGGAUUUGAAGUGAGACAUAAAUUACAUAUAUAAGUCAAAUUAGAACGUGACUAUAUAAUCAGACAAAUAAAGUUAUGGAUCUAUAUGCCUUAUUUCUUUAUCUAUUCCUUUAUCUAUUAUUUUUGUGUUUUUAUUUCUAUGAAUUUAAUUAAAUUACACUCAAAUAUUAAUGUUAUUUUUAUUGUCACCAAAUUACAAAAUUAUUAUACGCAGUAAUCUUAUUUAUUUUUUACACUUACUAUCUUGAAUAGCAUACAUGAGAGUCUCUUUAAAGAGCUUGAGAGUAUACAAAUUUUCUCAUUUUAUAAAAAUUAAACUUUAUUACUACUGCCUUAGUAUCUCAAGAUUAAACCCGUGCAUGGUUUAAACCCGCGUCUGAAAGAAAUUAUCAAAAUUCACUAUGCCCAGCCACACAAAAUAUAUUCCAAAUAUUAUGCCUAGGCUCUAUUAUAUAUUUAAUACAUAGCAGAAUUGUGUAAGAAGCGUAACAACCCCAUCAUUAUUAGGUUUUUUUACAUGUUGGGGACAAUUUUUACAAGCUUAUUAUCGAAAUGGAACUGAUUUAGAAAAAAAUAGUUGGAAAAAUUGUGUAGAGAAAAAUUGUGUCAAAGUAACAUAAUUUUAGUUAUAAGUAACACAACUUUACGAUUUUGAUUAACAAUUUUUUUUAAAGAUUACCCUGAAAUCAUGGUACAAACUUUAUUGAUUUUUUUACAUAAAACUUUAAACUUUAAAAUUUAAACUAAAAAUCUAAAAUAUACAAAAAUUAUUCAAAAGUACUAAAAGAUAUAAAAAUAAUAAUAGUUUUUUAACAAAUUUAGUAAAUAACUUUGAAGAAUCUUUUGAAUGACAGAUAUUUUUUUUAUAAAGUUUUCAUGUUAAACAUAGUAAGUUUACAAGAUAAGUUGACACUUCAAAUAAUAACCAUCAUCUGCCAUCACAUGAAAAAAGUAUUAUUAAAAAAAUAAAGAAAAUACAAAAAUAAGGAAAGAUUAAACCAAAACUUAUAUAUUUAACAAAAACGAUAUAUAAGUAGAUUAUAUUUAUUCAUAAAUACUUUUAGGACUAAAUGGAAACUUAUAUACUAAUGAAAUAAUUCUUUAUGAAUAAAUUUUAAAUUAGUCAAUUUAUCAGUAUAUGCAUUCUCUUCACAAAAAAUAUAAGUAACACUAAAUCUGAUUUUUAUACAAUAAUUAAGAGAAAUAUUCUUUUGAUUACAGAUGAAUGAUAAAGACGAAUUUCUUUGAAUUGAAUGAUAGAAAUUUGAAAGUAUGAUUCUUAUUUUUUAUGGAACACUAUUUUAAUAUUAGUUUUUUUUCUAUUCUUGAUGCGCAUUGAAUUGAAAUAGGACAUUCUUUAAUAUUCGUUACGCAGAAACGUUGUGAAUCAAUUGUGCUUUAACUUAUUAAAAUUUAUUACAUUUUCAAAUUUUGGUAAACAUCUUUUAAAAUUAAAAAUAUUAAAAUUUUAUAUUAAUUCAAACCGGAAAAAGUUUAAUAAUUUUGCAUGAUCCAACUAUGUAACGAAUUUUUUUCAAAAUCAUGUGCUGAAAAGAAUGUUUUAAUUGAAAACAACUAAAAUACACAUAAAUAAAUCAUAUUUUGUUAAUAAUAAAUACAGGAACAAAUUUAUAAUCUUAAAUUUUUUAUCAAAUUAAAAAAGUAAAAUUUCAAUCAUAUUCAUUAAACCAUUUAUAAAACUUUCAUAAAUUUUUUAUUUAUUUUUCUUCUUUCCUUUUCACUUUUCAAAUUUAUUUAUCUUAUUCCAAACAACCAAACACACAUUCUAAAUUUAUUUAUCUUAAUUCACACAACCAAACAACAAAUGAUUGUUAUUAUUUUAUGAAACAUUAUUCUAAUAUCAAUUUUUUUCCUAUUCUUUAUAUUAUAUAUAUAUAUAUAUUAUUACAUUUCCAAAUUUUGGGAGACAUCUUUUAAAAUUAUGAAUAUUAUAAUUUUAUUUUUAAUUCAAACAGAAAAAAUUCUUGAAAAAUACCAAAAACAAUGUUUUAAUUGCAAACUACUAAAAUACACAAAUAAAUAAAUUAUAUUUAUUUUUUUAAUUAUUUUUAAUAAUCCCAAGGGCAAAUUUAUAAUUUUAAUUUUGUAUCAAUUAAAAAAAACAAAAAUUUCAAUCAUAUCCUUUCACAAACUUUCAUAAAUAUUUUCUUCAUUUCCCUUCCUUUCCGCUUUAUUUUCCCUUAAAUCAAUUUUUUUCCUCACCCUCAAAUCUACUCCUCAAUCCAGAAAGCUUAAGAGAUAUAAGAUCACUUGUAAAGUUCAGGCUUCAAAACACCAACGUAAGGCAAAUUUCUAUACUGUUCGGCAAAAUCCAUUCCAUAACCUACAACAAAAUAGUCUGGGCACUGCAUACAAAACAAAUGUAGACAGAAUCAAUAGAUAUCACUCCCAACUCAUUCUGUUUCGCAGUUAGACCAUAGCACUUCAUGUCAGUACCAUAAAUAUAGACACUAUUGCUGCUUACAACAUAAUAUCUAGACUCGUGCUAAAAGUGUUAUCUAGGGAAUAAAGAAUCAGCUUAAGCAGAAAAUUUGAAAACAAAAAUUAUCAUAACUGUUGCAUAUCUAUAAUACAUUUCCACCCCAAAGGUCAACUAGCCAUUGAUACCAGAACAAGGUAUGUACUUUUCUAUCAUACCAUGUAAAUAAAGAAGAAAAUAGAGAGUAAACUAUUGGAUAAAUUUCUUAAAAAAAAAACUCAAAAUAAAAAACUAAAAUAUAUAAAAUUUCUUUCAUAAGUUAAAAUAAAGUUAUUCACGACAUUUUUAAGAAAAAUUGGAUGAGAGAACCUCUACAAAAGUUGAGUUGCAUAACUAAUUUUAAGGUAUGAGAUAAAUUUGAUUGACUUUACAUUCUUACCUUUUUACUUUUAUACUAGACAAGUUUAUCAAAGCAAGUCUCAUAGAAGUUAAGAACACUGUUUAAGUUCAACAGCUAUAAGAUAUGAAAGAAGCUCAUUGGCAUGUGUUGUUGUGCAUAAAAAAAAUCCAUACUUGUAAUAACCAAAAACAAGCAUCAUACCUCAAAUCCCCGGUAGAAUUUUCCUUCACCCACCAGCUGAACUUUGACUUUUCUCCUUGCAGGUUUGUCAAGGAAAGUGCACACAGAAACAGAGGAUGCUCCUUUUGAUUUCAAGUGCUUAAUGACACUAGACAAGGUAUGACCAGUAUCUACAAUGUCUUCAACCUAGUUCUCAAUCCAAUCUUAAUGAUUAAAACAUGGAUAACAAUUUGGAGCAGUUUCUCCACAAUCUCUUUCUUUGAAAAAUCAAAUAAAAAUUAAAAAAAAUUAUGUUAAAAUUAUAACUAAUUUGUAAAAAAAUUGUUGUGUGGCUUAUUUGAUUUUUUUUUUACUUUUAACUUAUACAUAGACUAAUUUUACUAGCUCAAGUAAAAUUCAAAUUUACUAUUUUUUUUUUCAUUUUCCUCCAUUAAAGCUCCUACAAUCAUGUCCAAUAUAAAACACAACAUAGGGGUAUCAACCAAUAGAAAAAGAAAUCGAGAAAUAAGAAAAUCGGAAAUUAAAAGCACAGAUUCAAUUGAGAAGAAGAGUGAAUUAGCUAAUUACUUUCAUUUGAAAAUAAAAAGUAUUAGUUUAUUUCAGCAAUUUGAAAACAGUGUCGCGAGUGCAAAAUAGUGGGAAUACCAAGAUGACGUGACGAGCGUUGAUGUCCACCUUCAAAUCGAAGGAAAGGGUGGGUGCACCAUUGGACUCGGUUCCGGAGCCGUAGGAUUCAGCUCGGACAAAAUCAACGGGUACAGAGAAUUCGAUUUUGCGAACAAUAUCUGCCAAGAAGAGGAAGGCACCAGUGGCCACACCGACGACUAUGGGCGGUAGAGAACAACCUGCAAAGUCGGCGGAGACUUCGGCUGCGAGCUCGGAGACACGGCGAGAAAUUUGGUCCUCGCUCCACAGAAUCCUCUCAAUGUGGGAAUGCAUGGCCAUGUUCAACAGAUAGGGUUUCUGAUAUGCUUUCCACCCACACUAGGGUUUUUAAUUCCGUGCCGUUUCUCAUUCUAUUGGAAUAAACCUUAGAUAUUCCUUUAAUUUUUUUUCUUAAUUAAGUAGUAAAUUUUUCAAAAUUUUAACGUAAAAUGAUAAAUAAUUUUUAUUAAUUAAAUUAAAAACGUGUUGAAAUGAAUUGUCUUCGUCAUCCUCAUUUAUAUAGAUGAUGAGAAAAAUAUUUUUCAUUUAAUUAAAAAAAUAAAAAUUACUUGUCUUACAACAAAACCUUAUAUCUUUUAAUAAUACAUAACACAAGUAAACAAAAUAAUAAAACAUGAUAAUAAUCACCUACUCUAUAUAAUAAAGCAAUCAAAUAAAAAUAAGUGAAUUAAAAAAUAUAAAAGAAAUUUUUGGGUAAACAAUAGACUACAUUUAUUUUAUAGAAAAUCAAUUGAAAAUACAUAAGUAAGCCUUUCUUUUUUAUAUACUUUAUUUUCUAUCAUUUAUUUAAAAUAUUUUAUUUAUUUUUACCUCAAAAUAUAUGAAAAUUUUAACUUACCAAAUUACUCACAAGUCUUAAUUAACUCACUCAAUGUUCUAAAGUUUUUUUUUCGUAAAUAUUUCUUUCAUUUUAAAAUAGUAGUCUUUUUUACAAAAUCGAUGACUUAUUUUUAUCUUUCUUUUUUUUGGCUGACUUUUUUUUUUAUUAAUUCAGAUUUUAUUAUUAUUAAUUUAGAUUUUAUUACUCUUAAAUUAUUUUUUACAGGUUAGUAUUUCUAUUUGUAUAACUCUUAGUAUUCCUAUUAUAUAACUUCCAGUAAUUGUAAUUUUAAUAUAUAUAUAUGAUUGAGUAAAUCAAAAUGAAUAAGAUUAGUUUUACAAUUUUAUGCAAUUACAGUUGCUACAACCUUUUGCCUUUUUUAUUUUCUUCAAUUAGUUCCUAAUUUUUAACAAUAUUAACAAAAGUAUUUUCUAUUAAAUUUGUAUAACAAAAAAUUUUCAGCCAGUGUACUGUAACAUUAAAAUACUAUUAUUUUCGAACUCAAAAAGUAAAUAUUUUAAGAAUAUACAAUAAUAAAAUGUUUAAUCAACAUUUUGGUGAAGUAUAAUAGAAGGCCUGAAAUGAUGUCAAAAUUAAUAGAGAAAAAUGUUUGACUGAAAAUGUUAUAAAAACAAAAAGAUUUAGUAUAAUAUUUUAAAAAGAAUAAAUGCAUAAAAAUCUUAAUACUUAAUUUUAUAGUAAAAAAUAAUUUACUUAAUAUCAAUUAUUAUAUUUUUAAUAAAAUAUAAAAAUGGUGUACUUUAAUUCACUAUUUUUCUAUAAUAUUUUACCUCUAUCUUUUCUUUAUAUUUAUGAAAGAUUUAUCCAUACCAAAAAAAAAAAAUUGUAAAGAGAACAAGUUUGCUUGAUUAUAAUUUGUUUUAGAAUAAAUUACUCUUUGUCCAUCUUCUUGAGUUGGUUUUAGGAAGUCUUGAGUUGGUUUUAGGAUGUUUUGCAUGUAUAGAGAUUAAGGGUCUUAUAUGUGGUCCUUCUAGGAUAUAUAUAUAUAUAUAUAUAUAUUUAUUUUUUUAAUUUUUUGUUAGUUCAGGAUCAUAAAGAUAUGUUCAGAUCAUGAAUAAAAGUAUUUUAAAUACAUGUUUAGCUUUCCUGUGUGAUAGUUAGUUUAAAUUUAAACAACUUAUAACAAGUAAGAAAAGUUAAUUAAGUUUUGAUAGUAUCUCAGGGUAGAUGAUCUAGAUGUGCAAGUGACGUGGUCACAAUAUUUGAUUUUAUGCAUGAAAUGUGUGUUGUUUGAAUAUAUUCAAAUUGUUUAAAUUUUAAGAUGUUUGUGGUGUACUAUGAAUAAAUGUUUUUUUGUUGUUGUAGAUAAUGAUUAGUUAUGUAUGGUAUGUUUGAGAUAUAAAGAGUUGGAAGUGUUUAAGAUAAAAUUUGUAUAAUUUGAGUGAAUAGAUUUUAAAUGGGUUAUGUUUUAUAUUUUAGUUGUGAAAAGUAUAAUAUUUCAAUUGAGUCAAAGUGAAUCAUCUUCUUAUUCUUUUAUAACAAAAUAUUUCAUGUUAGGCAUAAGAAUUGAAGAAAAAUCUUAGUUUGAACAAAUUGGUUUCCUUGUUAUAUUUUAUAGAAUUUUUGAAUUAUGCAAAAUUUUUGAGUUAAGGAGAGUUGUUGGACAAACAAAACUUUCGUUGGGCGAAAUUUAAGCAAUUGAAAACUUAAGAGUUUUGGUCGUUGAAUGAGUCAUUUAAAUAAAAAAUCCUAGUGAUUUGGUCACUGAACAAAAUUUAUUUAAUUAAAAACUUGAUAGUUUUGGUUGUUGGACGAGUAAAUUCUUGAUCAAUGUGUUGCUUUUAUGAAAAGUUUCAAUGGUUUAGCCAUUGGGCAAAUACUUUGGUCGUUGGAUUAGCAUAGUUUUCGUUGGAAGACUAAAAUUCAUUGAACAUGUUGACACCUUUGUCUGAAAGAGGAGAAUGGUGGCUAGGCAAAUUGCAAAUUCGUUUAGCGAGUCAUGUAUUGAUUGAGCGAGACAAUGUUUUCUUAACUUUGAAAAUACAUGUUUUUAAAUGUCGAUGUGUGGUAAACACACUUAUUUUUAAGGAUAAAAUACUAUGUUGAGAAGUCAUGUAUUGAAUUUGAGAUUUUGAUGAAAAUGAUCCCGACUGUACUGAUAUCGGACUCAUAUAGAGAAAAAUAUUAGGUGGUGAGAGAUGAUGAAAAAUUCUAUGACCUAGUCUGCGGUGUGAAAAAGAAUUGUGUUUGGUGGGUUAUAUGGAUUUACUCUAUCAUAUGAGUGGAUUGAAUUCCUAUUUUGUAGCUUUGUUAUGGUAACAACUUAGUGAAUGUAGUAUGACAGAUGCAAAUCUUUGAGUCAAAUUCAAUGCAUGAGUCUUUCAGGAGUAGAGUCAACAGUCUAUGAUGUAUGAUGUUAGUAGAUCAUAGCAUGAGAUGUAACAAUUUUGUUGUGAAAUAAACAUUUGAUUUCUAAUAGAUAUUUGUGCGUGUGUGUGUAUUUUUGAAGUUUUUAUUUCCUUUUCUUAAAAAUGUGUAUAUGUAUAUAUUUUGAUUCCAUAUGAGAAGGGAAGCUUUAUUUUAAUUUUUUUUUAAAAUAAAAACAUGUGUGUUGUGUGUGUUUUUCUUGAAUAAUUUAGAAAAUAAAUUAUAUUGUCAUUCUUUUUGUCCUGAAAUUUUCUUCCGUAUUUAUCUUUUUCUAUCUUCAUACCAAAAUUCUUAAAUUAAUUCUUAAGAAUAUUUAUAAAAAUAUAUAUAUUGAUGUUUUUUUAGACACAAAUUAAACAAAUUCUAUCAAAAACUAAAUUGUUUCUCAUAUUAGCAUUACAUACUUUAGCUCCAUUAUACGAUAAGUUUAAGACAUCCAAAAUUCACAACUCGUGACGUGUUAAAUGUGUAAUAAACUCUUCUUUAAUGAAGCCACUAGAUGUCGUAAUUCAUAUGACAUAUGCUAUUCUCACGUGAAUAAAGAUAUCAUACAAUACCUUUUUUUGAGUGACAAUAUCAUUGGAUACAUACAUUUGAGCAACUCAGUCGAUACAUUUGCUUAAACAACCAUAAUUUUGUUUUAAAAGAUAACAUACGAUAGUUAGACUGAGAGUCUAAGAGUUUUGAUUAUAACAAAACAUUAUAAGGUGUCAAAGACGUGCAUAAUCAAAUCAAAGCAGAAGUUGUCAUAUUCAACGUCUAACAAUAAGAAGAUGAUGAACAAUACAUUAUGAUGAAGGAUAUCAUUAAAGAUAUUCAAGAUCAUAAUAUUUAAGUAUCAACGUUCACAUUUGGAAUCAAAGAAGAAACAAAUCAAAUUACAUUAAAGACCAAGACACAAAAGAAUCAAUCAGAUUGAAGAAUUCCCAUAUCUAGCGUCUAACAGUCAUGUGAAUAAGGAGAAGAGUCAAAGCUUCAACGGUCAUAAUCUAAAUACUAUAUAAAGACAUUGAAGAUGAAAAAGACAACACACAACUACACUAGAUACAAGAGAAUACAAAGCAAUCAAAGUUAUUGUAGUGUGUAAUCUUUUGUGCGAAAAUUUUGUAUAUUUGUUGUUUAAAACACUUAUUGUUUGGGGAAUGAGUCUUGCACAGUAAAUCCUUCGUUGUGUGAAGAUAACCUUGUGUGCUUUUAUUGUUGCUCUCUGUUUGAGAAUGUUUCUCACUUGUUGAAAAGUUGUUGUCUCAGAGGGAGAUUAAGAUUUAUUACCUGGAGAGGUGAUUAAUACUUGUUACCUGGAGAGGUGAGAAUACUCAUUAUCUAGAGAAGUGGAGAAUAUUUGUUACCUGGAGAGGUGAAAAAUACUUGUUACCUAAAGAGAUGUAGAAUACUCUACCUGAAGAGGUUGAGAAUACUCCCAAAAAAGGUGUAUAAUACUUGUGUUAGUAAAGACUCUUAUGCUGGUUGCUUAAGGGGAUUUGAUGUAGUUCUAGUGUUUUGGGGUGAACCAGUGUGCAUACUUUUCUCUAUCCCUUGCCUAUUAUAAUUUGUGAUUGAUUGUGUUUUUUAUUAAGCGAAUUGAGUUUUAGGCUUCAUUCAACCACCCUUAUAGAGCCAAUUGUAAGUGAUGGUAUUAGAUGACACACUCGUUUAAACAAUACCUGAUACAUUUUUGUAAAUAACCAUAAUUUCACAGAAUAAGAGUAUUAAAUGAUACACUUACUUAAAUGACUCAAAAGAUACUUAUGCAUCAACACCAAGACAAUUUCAAAAAUCUACUACAUUUUAACUCAAAAGAGCAAUCUUACUACAGUACAUAACAUUAUUUCUUACAAAAUAAAAUCAAUGAAUUUAUCUUACUAAUUCAAAAGGAGAAUUUCAAAUACAUGAAAAGAGAAAAUUUUAGACUCAACAUGUAAAGGAAGAACUUUAGACUAUACAUACCACACAAGCACUAUUAGCUAAAAUACAUCCUAUUCGAACUUUAGACUAUACAUACCACACAAGCACUAUUAGCUAAAAUACAUCCUAUUCUAAAUUCAUCAGCAAAGAUCAUCCAAUAUAACUUUCAGCAAAACUAAACAGUCCCUUGACUCUCCAACAACUAUAAGAUACUAUCGAACUAUGAUGAGAUUUAAAUAAAUGGGAGGAAUUAGUUCUCCGAAAAAACAUUUUAAAUCAAAUUGUAUAUGCUUUUGUUUCAUGCACGUAAUAAUUCUAACCUAUACCCUAUCACUAAUGCUAAUGUGAAAUGAUAGAAUGUCAUCUUUAAUUUUUAAAUAGGGGUAUGGGGUGUAAGUCUUUUUAUAAUAUGUUUUCGAAUUUUGUUUUUCAAUAAUUCCUUUUCUGAAAUAUGUUUCUAGAAAAAAAAAAUUAUAAUUUAUUAUUUAUAUGUUGAAUUUGUCUUUCUAGAAUGAGAUUUUGAUUUUCCAAUUCUAUUCCAUAAUUUCAUUUCUAAAACAUAAAAAAAAAAAACUAUUCUGAAUUUCUUUUUUCAGAACAUAAUUUUCAAUUCCAGAUAGCAUGAAACACAAGCAAUUCUUAAAUUUCAAAAAUUAUAGGAUGCAGGUUAGAGUUGAUCGGGUGCCUAAAGAAAAAGGUGAAACGAAUUGUGAAAUAGGCACCCGAUAGAGUUCAGUAAAGCCUUUGGGAUGUUAUUACACCAUUUUGAUUGAAAGUUUCUUAUAAAUAAGAAUAUUAUUCUAAUAAAAUAAUUGUUUAAAUAAUAAAAAAAAACUUAUAUAAAUAUCUCUACACUUUAUAUACGUACAUGAUCUAUAUUAAAAUAACUUUUAUAUAUAAACAACUAUUGCGAAUAACUCGUUACGGUAAAUACGCACAACUAUUGCAGAAAAGGUUAAGGCACAAAAUACACUGAUAAAUAGUAAUGACGAAUCCGUAUAAACCAUUGCUGCUAUAAUGAUAGUACCAGACUAUAAACCUAAGUUGCAUUUGUAAUUCAUCACCACAGAAUCCACCUUAGUUGGAUUUUCCAAUUGAAACACAUAAAAUCAAUAACUUAAUAAAUUAAAAGAGUGAAGGAUGAGUCUAACAAAAUCCCAUUUCAAUUGUCUGAAAAGCCAAAAUUGUUUCCAAAGCUAAUAAAACGAACUCUACUGCAAACUCAGUCCUAAAUAAAAAUAAUGAUGAAAAAGUCGAAAAAAUGCUAAAUACCGAGACAAAAUUGCUAAAAAGUCUACUACCAAAACAAAACCUUAAAACCCUCCAAUAUCAUCACCCCCUAUAUCAUCUGAAAAAUUAAUAAUCCCACAAAAAAAUGAUAUGAUAUUGGUGAAAAUGUCUACUCGUUAGACCUGAUGUUGCUUCAUUCAUUCACAGACAAUGAUCCAAUCUGAUCACCAACUGCAGAAUCAGGUGUAGCCUCAUACAAUACCUGCAUUGCCUCAGACACCUUUGUCUUCAGGUCCUCAGGAGAUUCAAUGAGAUUGAUUACUUCUGACUGGUCCAUUUCCAGCAACAUUCCAGUCACCUUCGCUGUGUAUUGGUUUAAUGUGAGACGCUCCACAAGAGGGUAUAAAUGUUCCCCCAACAUCUGUUAAAUUCAACAAUUUAAACCAAUCAGUACACUUAUCAAACAAGUAUUAUUACAAAAAUUGUAGUUAUAAAUUGAAUAGCAAGUCAACGUCAUUGUAAACUUAUCCUUUUAAAGCAAACAGAUAAAUUAAUAAAAGACAGUUUAAUCCUACAAAAUGUUCACUGAAUUAACUAGUUAAAGUGGGCAUAUGAAAUCUGUUAUUUUCAUACAUGUGUUUAUAGAUAACACUUCAAUUCAAAUUUAGUUCAUCUUUAGAGGAACUGAAUUUCAAUCCUAUAUUUAUUCAUAGAUUUAACUAGUGGGUGUGAUUUGUCCUUUACAUAUUCAAACUAAAAAUACAAUUUAUACAUACCAUGCGUUGGUUUUCUGGAGUGGCAGAUGCAAGAGCGGAUGCAAGUGUAGUAGACACUGCUCCAGAACGCUGACCAUCAUUAGGUGCUGCAUUAAUUCCAGAACCAUCAAAGUGCAUAGUAGUUGGACCAUUUCGACCAUUAGACAUGUAUCGAAACCCUUGGUUGGAAUUACGAUGUAGCAUCAGCUUUGAAACAAUGAAUUGUUUUCAAUAAUGACAACAUAAUUGUAAGAUUACAACUAUUUAGUUCCAAAAGAAUUAUAGAAUAAUCACCUGGUUCUGUUGCACCGGUUGAAAGUUUCCAUUUCGUCGAACUCCUGUCCUGUGUCCAGACUGACCCUGCCUUUGAAGGUGGUAAGGAGUAAUGAAAUUGGGGGCAAAUCCAGGCCGCAUACCAGGCAAAAUUUGCUGUUGGAAUGAAUAUCCAGCAGGCUGUGGUGGUAUGAAGCCAGGGGUGCCUUGACCAAAAUAUAAUUGUUGAGGAGCAAGUCUUGGUGCCCCUGGAUGAUACACAGGAAUGCCAGCAGGCAGAGGUGUCAUUCCACCCGAUGUUCGGAUUUGAGCAAAAUGAGCCUGAACAAAAUCAAUUUGUUACCGUCCAUCAAAUUCAAGGAAAACUGCUAAGAUGAUUAUAAAAAGAAUAAUAUUUUUUUAGGAUACAACAUGCUGAUUCAAAAUAAAUAAAUAAAAACAGCAAAACAGAAAAACUCAAAGAACCAAAAUAAGACACUAACAUCAUAAGGCACAUACAUCAUAAAGCACAGAUGAAUAUUUCAACAAAUACAAUUAAAAAAAGCCAGUUAACUACCACUGUGAUUUACUCA
rnacentral:lncRNA from 1 species